AGAGACGAAGAAGCUACACCGAUGUAGAUUUGAGUUCACAUGAACACCGGGAAGGCCAACAAGCGGGAGUUUAAGGGCACUGGAAACCCUCGGGGACCUUCUUGCCACAGUAGUUCACCAGGAGGCUGAGGCUGAUGGGUAUGUUGAGGUUGGCGCCGAGGACGUUGGCCUUGAGGGCGGUGCAGAGGCAGAGGGCAGCCUCGUCGUCGGCAAGCCCUUCCACCAGACUGCAGCAGGGCUUCUUCGGCGGCUUGCCGAUCUCGACGUUGAUCAAUUUGAGGACGUCGCUGCAGGCGGCAAAUUUGAGGGUGUCCACGGGGCAUUUGCCGGAGGGGGCAGGGCUCGGGGUUGGCUUCGGCUUCGGCUUCGGCUUGGGUUUGGGCUUCGGCGUCGGGGUAGGGCAGUAGCCGCAGGCGCUGGUGAGGACCCAGAAGAGGACGUUGAACAAGAGGAAAAGAGCGAUCGAGCUUGUGGUCUUGGACGCCAUGGUCUCUUCCACUCUAGUGAACACUAAGUGCUCGUGAUGGGUUGAUGCAUCGUGGUACGCAGUGGUACUUAUAGGGCGAGGAGGAUAGACGAGAGCCACUGAGAGCCAGUUGUAGGCUGGAAGACAGGACAAACAACGCCAUGUGAGGGGAGAAGCAAUGGCCAAGGGGUUUUAGCUGGCAGAUUCCGGAUCGUUUUGGAGCAUUCCUGUGGCUGUUCCACAAGACUUUUGUGCACCAUUCCUUCUUCUAGCUUGACGUGCAAAUACCAUCAUCAUAUAUAUCACUGGAACUUAGUGGCCAUGAGGUUACAACUCCGGGGGACUUGAUUCAUUGGCCUGCAGCAAAGUUUUAGAGUUUCCUGAGCUACAUAACCAGGAAUGGCAGCUGGGUUUUAGCUUCUUCUUACGUUGAAGAAGACAUGUCUGAAGCUGAUUGCCACAGGUAACAUCAAUCCAGUUGUAGUUCAUACCGAAGCCGACUUAUGGAGCUUCUCACUGCACAGUGUGAAACUAUAUCAGACAAGAAAAAGAGUGUUCUUAUCUUCUCUAAUGGACUAUAAGUAACUCCACAACAUAGUUAAGAGGCCUUGUGAAAGGUAGAAAGAAGAGUGAGGAAGAAGCAUGACAAGGUUCAAUAAUUGAGGCGCAGCAUCCAUGAAAGGAGGUCAAUAUAAACUUUGUGCAAGUCUCGGGCAAUGAUCAAAGAACAAGUUGCCGCAAUGACCAUAUCAUCAUUUUGGCUUUGCAAGACAAAAUCUCCUUCUGGUUCUAAGCUUAGUUAUGAGCUUUAUAAUCGAUCAACUAUACAACACAUUGGAUUUGGAUCAACCACAGCCUUUGUCAUUUGUUAUAGCACAAGUUGAUGAGCAAGUGAUUUGGAUGAGAACCCUUGCAGCAAUUCAAAUACAACAAUACAAUUAUUAGGGGCACGCCCUACCAUCGAGCAAUUUGCUGACCGUGUGGGGCUGCGUGCGUACGUUGAAUGUGACGAGUUUUGGAAGCUCUAGAGUUUGCAUCAAAUCGAGACAAUAAGCCGCCGUAUGUGGACAUCAACACACCAACAAUUUUGUUCUUUUUUUUUUAAUGAAAGGAUAAAGGAAGAAGAUAAGAUUUAAGUUUAAAAUUUUAUAAUGAACUAUCAAUUUUUUUACUAGCUAAAAUAACUAAUAUCUUCAAAAUAUAUCAGAUGAUAUUUUUAAUUUUUAAUCUUAUAUAUAUAUAAUAUUUUGAAAAAUAAUUUUUGUCUAUCAACUAGUCACUCUAAAGGCAUUGAUGUAGAAGAAAAGAGCUGAAUUACCCUCCACUAGGCAAUUACGUAUAGAUGGUUAUGGUUUGUUUGCCCCCGUGGACAAUUGAGAGGUCGUUUGUGCCUAUUGCUCCUGUGGAUAAAAUGCCACGAGGGACAUUAAGGUUAUUACAGAGAAUCCUCUCAGCUAGUGAAGUAUAAACAUUGACCCCCGAUGCCAACCAAAAGGGUCGAACCAUUUAAAAAAAAAAACUUUGACACCCCAUACAACCUCUCAAACUAACUUGAGCGUCGGAGAGGAUAGGUUGGAAAACUCUUCAUGACAUUGACCUUUGUGUAGGAACCUACUGAGAAGCUAGAUUCCACCUUGGCCUAAUCUCAAGACCACCUCGGAGAGGUUGAAACUACACAAAGACCACCUUGGAGCCACCUCAACUGCACCAAGGCUGCCUCAAGGGUUCCUCGGACGUCUCUACGCCUUUGAGUCAAAACCAACCUGUGCUAACUUAAUCAUCGACGAUAUAUCCUCUCAACAUUUUAAUACUAGAAGGAGGGUCAAAUGUGCCCGAGUCAUAUGAAUCGAGAAAACUUAAUCCACGCAUAGAUGAAUCCGCUACGACAAAGACCCUGCGCCAAAUGUGCCCGAGGCAUGUGUUAGGAAAACCUAACUUGCACUAAUAUGAAUUCGCUAUGAUAGAUACCUUGGGCCAAAUGUGCCCAAGGCAUAUGAAUCAAAAAAACUUGGUCCGUACCAAUAUGAAUCUGUUAUGAUGGAGACCCCAGGCUAAAUGUGCCCAAGGCAUGUGAGUUGGAAAAAUCUGAUUCAUGCCUGAUGAAUCCACUAUGGCGGAGACCCGAAGCCAAAUGUGCUCGAGGCAUGAGUCGAAAAAACUCAAUCCACACUAAUAUAAAUUCAUUAUUGUAUAAACCUUGAGCCAUAUGUACUCGAGAUAUGUGAGUCAAGAAAACUUGAUAUGCGUCAAUAUGAAUCAACUACGAUGGAGUUCCUGGGCCAAAUAUGCUCAAGUCAUAUGAGUCAGGAAAGCCCGACCUACGCCAAGAUGAAUUCGCUACAGCAUAGGCACAAAGCUAAAAGCUCUAUGUUAGUCGGGAAAACUUGACCCAUGCUAAAAUAAAUCUAUUAUGGUGAAGGCGAAAAGGUAAAAGUACUUGAGACACCUGAAUCGGGAAAACCCAACCCGCAAGAUAAGAUCUCGAAUGCUCCCGUAUCGAACAAACUAAACGACGUGCUUCUAACCCCUCUCGUAAGAGCCCUAAGCACACUUUUGUGGGGGGACAAAUGAUAGGAAAUAUUUUGACAACCAAUCCCUGUCCGCUAACUAGUCACCAUAGAGACACUAAUAUAAAAGAAAAGGACCGAAUUACUAUUCACUAGAUAAUGAUGUGGGAGUAGCUAUGGUGUGUCGGCUCUCGUGAACAAUAGUCCAUGGGAGGUUGUUCGAACUAACCUUGUCAAUAUUUAUGGAUAACAAUCCACGGGAGGUUGUUCAAGCAUGUCACUCCCAUGGAUAAAAUGCCAAGAGAGGACAUUGAGGUUAUUACAAAGGAUUUUCUCAACUGAUUAAGUAUAAAAGCUGACCUCGAUGUUAACCCAAGGGUCAAAUCUUUUUUCGAAAAACCUUUGACACCUUAUGUAACCUAUUGAACUAGCUUGAGUGUCGAAGGGGUCGGUAGGUCGAUAAACUCUUUCCGACAUUGACCUUUAUGCAGGAACCCAUCAAGAAACUAAAUUCCAUCUCGACCCGACCUGAAGACCACCUCGGAUAGGUCUGGACUAUGCAAAGACUACCUUAGAGCCACCUCAGCCACUUCAAAAUCGUCUCAAGGGUUUCUCGGAAGACUAAGCCAAGUUGACACAAUCGUCAAUGUAUAUAUAUAUAUAUAUAUAUAUAUAUAUAUAUAUAUAUAUAUAUAUAUAUAUAUAUAUAUAUAUAUAUAUAUAUAUAUAUAUAUAUAUAUAUAUAUAUAUAUAUAUAUAUAUAUANNNNNNNNNNNNNNNNNNNNAUAUAUAUAUAUAUAUAUAUAUAUAUAUAUAUAUAUAUAUAUAUAUAUAUAUAUAUAUAUAUAUAUAUAUAUAUAUAUAUAUAUAUAUAUAUAUAUAUAUAUAUAUAUAUACUUUGCAUCUCGAAUGAUAACUAGUACAGGCCAUCAUACUUGAUAGAAUUAAAUGGUAAGAUAUGGGUGUACAUUUUACUACGGGGUUCGAUCUGUCACAACUUAGUUUGGCCAUAGUCUUCUACUUCCAACCUAUACGUAUCGCUACAGUCUGCUGUCUCACACAGAACGACACGACCUCAUCACCUUAAGCACAUGCUGUGUCAGGGACCGGAGGAGAUUAUUUUGAGAAAUUCGCAUGUUGCUCCACCUUUUAAAAACUUUUUUUUGCAAAGCUUCUCUAAUCAUGCGAAAUGAUCAUUUUAUCUCUAUCUUUAUUAGAUCUGUUAUCGUCAUCACUAUAUAUCGCCCCUUCCCCCCUCCCUUCUUUGCCUAUAGUUGAUGACGAAGGGAGCUUGCUAGCAACGAUGAACAAGUGAAGGUGCUCACCCUAUCACAUGUCCCACCAAACCCUAUUAUGGUGAGAGGAAUAUGUAGAUCUCGACGACGAGAGGUCUUACGAGUGAUGGAGGCAAUUGCUAUGCCCUGACGAGGGCAAGGCCUCCAUUGUUGAUCACCACCUUCAUACACGAUUGCACUUGCGUUAUAGGUGAUAAACGACGAGAUGAAAACACGGCCAAGGCUACGUAGAGCACCAUUGCCAACAAAGGUAGAAUUAUUAUUUUUUAAAAAGAGAUGUUUUGUGAGAAUUUCUUAAAGUUAAAGACGUUAUUCGAGAAAUUUUCAAUAUUAAAAUUUUUUAAAAGAAUUUUCCAUAUAUAUAUAUAUAUAUAUAUAUCUUGAUUUGAAAUAUAUCAAAACAAAAACAAAAACUCUUUCGUCCUUUGUCUCUAAACACUUUUAUAAUCCGGAUCAAGAUAACUUAACGAGUUUCACACUUUGGACAUUCCCACAUCAUGUUAUGUCAUGUCAAACGCAUCGUCAACCUGACACAUCGAUCUAAUUCACACUCACAUAAACACCAACUCGACUCGACACCACUUGGGGCAUCCAACCAUUUCGAUGUCGGUUGAAACCUAUCGCUUCACUCACACAAACCCUACCGUGCAAUAACUAUAAUGCUCAUUAUAUAUUUUCUUGAUCGAGUAAUAACAAAUAAUUCCAUAUAACUAUUACUGAGAUUAACUUCCCACUUUAUUCCAAUAGUUAAAAAGGCUUCAAAUGCAUUUCUAAGGACACUAUCAAAGUAUACAUCUGACAUGGAUGUUUACCUCAAUCAAUCACAGUUCAUAAGUAAUGGUAAAGAAUCCAAGAAGAAAUAUUUUAUCAAUAUAAUAAAAUAUAUUUCUUUAGUUCAAACUCAUUAUAAAGACCAUCAAUUUACUGUUACAAAGAUCAAUUACUAUUCACUCAUGACUCAACUUUUCACCUCAAUACUAAUUCGAGCAUCAAUGAGUCCCCCGUGCAGACAACCCAGAAACGAGUCAAGUUGAUUUAGACAUCAUCGACAUCCACCACAUCAACACCUAUACUUCUCGAAUCCAACUUUCUUAUUGAUCAUCGAAGAAAUGUUCAUCAAACACACCCAUAACAAUUCGUAGGAUGUCCCGCUAAACAAUCUCACUCUCAAUUGACUACAAACCAUAUUUGCACUAGCAAAACCCCAAGGCAAAUGUUUCACAAGUGACCCAGAUUAGAUAAAGGAUUUCUCCUGUACAUAAUUCAUGGCCAAAAGCAACAAAAUGAAGUUUUCAACUGCUCUACUCGACAAACGAACGAUACUCUUUAACAUUACUCAAAGAAAGUUGCAUUUAUAAUUUACAUGUAUCUCUGAUGCGACUACUUCAACAGUACGACACUGAAUCUGUCUGAAACAAGUAAAAGACCAAACAGUGGAAAAUGGUGGGAGGCAAAAUAUGAAUUGCCUUCAUUUUAUUGGCAUGAUCGGAUAACUAGGGAUACCUUCAGGCCCCUCUUCUCCUAAACCCAAUGACAAAAUCAAACAACAAAAGAAUGAGCAGUUACAUGGAGACCCAUAAAGUUGAUGAGUCAUCUGCAGAUUGACACACACCAAUAGAAGAGUUGAAUGUGCAGAAACUCAACUAAGCAUCACGCGAUACCGACCUGAGUGCUGAGUUCAUGCUAGCUGCCGGGUACCACAGUUAGUUCAUUGAGUACUCACCAAAUAUAUCCAUACAGUCAUCCCAUUUCUGCUGAUCCCUUGCCUCCCAGUAUCCGCCUAUAUAACAGAACGUUGCAUCCUCACUAUCCCUUUGGAACCAUCUUGGCUUCCACCCAUUUUCCUGCAAUUUUCUUGACUGCACCAAAAGAUAAAUUUGAUCAUGCAUGCUGUGCAAUGUUUAACACUAACUUCUGGAGAAAGGUAAAAGAUUCAAAAUUCAACGAAAGCACAUGCCCUUGAUAGAUCUUUGCAAUUUGACUACAACAUGGAAGUUAUUAACUAGAAGAGUAUUCGUAUCCAACAAUGCAUUCUUUAUAUGAAGCCUCUGCAGACUCUCAGGAAUCUGCAUGUUUAUUGUAGGUUCUGGCAAUCAAUGCUAGCAGUCCUAUCAGUUAGCAAUUAGUUAGCAGUGAGUAUUUUCCACACGGAAUUCAAUCCAGAAAAAUCCGUGUGAAUCAGGAUGGCAUAUCAUAAAAUGUAAUAGAAUACUACAGUAUAAUUGAGAUAUCAAGAAACAGCAAAGCCACAUUUAUAUGACUAUUUAAGCUUAAGAAUAUUGUGAGUGAGGACUACCAUUCGCUGUCUCUUCUCCAAUCGCAGCUUUUCUGUAUUUGCCUUUUCAUACUCCCCAUUCUCAAGAUACCGCUGAUCUGGCCGCAGUCUUGAAUCAGUUGGUGGAAGUUUUUCCUUGAUUUAUGACCAAACAUUCACAAUGAGAUCAAAGGAAAAUAUAAUUAAAUUAACAAGAUAAAAAUAUGAUAUUUAACAAGUAAAUUGCAUCUCAUAUCUACCUUCAGUUCCGAUGUUAGCUCAUUUAAUGUAAUAGCAAAUGAUGUCAAGUUGUAUCGAGUGGGUUCAGUAGGAGGCUUAUUCCUUUUCCACAGCAGAUUUGCAUUCUCUGUCGAAACAGAGCUCUUGGUCUUCAAGAUUUCAUCGCCAAACGAGAAGUACAUGCUGUCAUCCCAUUUCCCAACCAAAGUAGCAACUUUUGAUCCGUUCAUAGACUCAACAAAGCCUAGCACCUUUGUAGAAGAAUGUGGCCCCAGUCACUAGAAGAACUUGAUAAGACUGGACUAAAUGCAGCAAAAUCUCAUUCCUUACUUGGUGAGGGUUGCGGUCAAGGAGCGACUGCUCUUUGAACUUUAGUUUACAAGAAUAUUGCCGGUUACCCAGGAUGUUCAUUGUACCAUGGUGAUUGCAGUGUACUUUUCCGAGGAUCAGGUUAUAGAUAGUCGUUGUGACCUAAAUGGAAACCAACUGAUACAUUUGACAGGGCAGAAAAGUAUCUUUCUCCGGAUGAUACUUGUUUAUGAAGUCUGUGUGUGUGUGUGUGUGUAGAAUGACAUGACAAAAAGAAGCAUGCAACUCUUUUAUGACAAAAGUGAUUUUCUUGAAUUGUGAAUAUGUUUAACAAGAAAACAAUAUUUGUUUUAUUUACAGAAAAUUUGAGAUUAUGAAUAAUUUUGCAUGGUAAUACAUACCUUACUCCACUGAAAAAUUUCGCCAUCAUCAAAUUCCAAGGUUAAUACACCAAGGGGAUCUAGUUGUAUGGAUUGUCCCCGGAACUUACUCCUGAGAUUGCUGUCUCCCCAGAAUUUCCAACCUCUGCCUUCGCAAUGGCAGGCAAUGAGCAUAGGAUGGUGGCUAACCUAGUGGAAUAGUGAGAAACCUCAGAUUUUUUAUAUCUUAUGAAGUAAUGCCACAGAAGGUUGCAUAGGGAAAUAGAAGAGCAUAUAUGUGUCAGCUAAACUAAUUCAAUAUGAUAAGUAAGCAUAUAUAACAUGAACAAAUUAGAAAAUCUCUAAUUCAUGAAAUAAAUAUUCAAUUGUUGAUUUCUAUCAUAUGAUUUAAUUAUUAAUUUCUAAAUUUCAGUUUUUUGUUACAAGAUAACUUCUCUUUCAGCCUUGAUGUGAGAAAAUAUCUAGAUUUUGUUUGUAGAUAAAUUUUCUGACAACAAAACGAAUUUUGAGAACUCGAGUAAAUAUUCAUCAUUCCAAAGGCAGCAUGUCCUAAUAUGUUUUGAGGCAAGCAAAGAACACCAUGUCACAUUCAUAUAAAUAAGCAAAUGAAGCGUCCAUCAAGUUUCUUAUGAAAUGUUAAAGAUCUAAUUGUUGAAGCACUUCUGCUGCUGCCAGAUUUUUGUUCUCAAUAGAAGAAUAUUUGAAUACAAAAUCAUACUCAAAUUUAAUAAUUGCUAAGUAUGCCAUGCACAUUUCUGAAUCAUCAACACUUCUGGAUCACAGGGCAGAAACAAACUAAUAUAUGCAUUAAUUGAUAGUUGAAAAUGGUAGUUAAUUUGCAGACUGCAUACACCCAUGAAAUUUUCACAAAAAAGGAUUUGAAGUAUCCAAACCAUUUCACUUGAAUUAAGAAAAAUGCCUGUAUAAGUCUUUCAUUGACAUAUUUUUUUCGAAUGUUUCUUUAAUUUCAAAUUCAUUUCCUGAGUGAUCUUGAUCAUGCCAAUCUGACCCGACCAAUUACAUCAAUCCCAAAUCAUAAACUUGCAAACAACACCUAUAGCAACCAAGCAUAUUCAUGAAUCCCAAAAAGGCUUGAAUGUACUCCACUUAUGAACAUAACUCCACAUAAUAUGUGCUGUACUUCAUGAAUCCCAAAAAGGCUUGAAUGUACUCCCCUUAUGAACAUAAGUCUACAUAAUAUGUGCUUUGCUUCAAGCAUGCAUCCAAAAAUGAUAACAUAUUUACUAGCAGUACACAUUGGAAAGAUAACAAAUGAGCUUUCUGGCUUGAUUUUAGUUUUCAUGAAUAGAGAAACUCAAUCAAUAAAUAGAUAUAUAUGACUCUUCUGUUACUCUGGAUAAUUUCUCAGUAAUUUGAUAAACUUUUAUAAUUUUAUGAAAAUGGUAAAGCAAAUCACAACAAUGAGACUGUGAGAUCUUCAUACCAUAGUCCAAAACCUACCUUUUCAGCAAAGAAACGGACUCCUUUUUCAGGGUAGUCAGCUUCAUAUGUUUCUCCUAACAAAGGAUUGAAAGGUUUGCAAAGGCGGCCAUCACAAGAAGAAUAUCCAGAGACUGCAAAGGCAGCUACAUUCAGAAUCCUCAUGAGACCAUUCCCCUAAAUACAAAAGUUCAGCAUAAGAAACACAAAUUAGGUUGAACAGGAAUUUUGCAAUUAUAACCAUGUAUAUGCUACCUUGCCUAUUGGAUAUCACAAAUUAGCUUUAAGACUUGUGCAGUACUCAAAUGACAGAUACAGAUUUAUUCCAGGUAUUAACUUAAGUAUUUGGUUAGAGACACUGCCAUUUUUACUUAGCAUACAGAAAUAUCACAAAGAACAACAGAAUUUGAGAAACAGUUUAUUUUAUGCACAUGGAUUCCAUCACAAAUUAUAACAAAAAAGAACAGAUCACUCUUGUCAAAUAUGCACAUGGACUCAUAUUUGCUACCGUCAUUUCUAGUUAAUCUAAAUCUUAUCUUAAAUUCUUUUGGACAUUGCUAAUAUUCUAAGUGCCAAAUGUUCAUCAUUGAUAUGUUUCUUCACAAGGUGUUAUAGUAGGCUUUCUGAUACUUUAAUUUAGAUUCUUUUCUAACCCUUUAAUUUCAUCAUGUAAUGCACUCCAAAUAAUUGGGAUAUUAUGACUUGUUAUUGUUGUAGUUGAUACCUCCUAGGAUUUACAUUGUCAGAAUGGAAGCUCACAUUCAUGCAUCAUUCUCUAUCAAGCCACUUAAUCUGUUUUAAUUAUAACCCCUCUUUUGAUACUUGCCAAAAAUUAGAAUGAUGUUUUGGCAAGAACAAAGAAAUUUUUUUGCACCCCACUAUUUGCAUUCUCAUGGCACUUGCUUACUGACAUGUAACUAGAAGAUCUUUGUUGAACACUUGAACCAUUGAUAAAUUAUACCAGCAUGACCUUCAGUAUCUUCACUUUAAUCUUUUGGUAGUUAACUAACCAGCAGCUUGAGGGGAAACCUAGAAUAAUCUUGUACAAAGACAUUAUGCUAUGUAGAGAAUAUAUUCCAAAAAUUUCCCGAUAAUGAAGACAGAAGAAGAAUGAACACUUGAGAAAAUACAAAUAAGCAGAAAUUGACACAUGAAUAAAACAGUCAGAUCUAUAUCCUAUGUCAAAAAAAUUCUUAAAUAACUGCAUAACAAAAUCUUUACUAGCUCUAGCAACUUCACGAAAAAGGGGGAAAAAGCCCAGCUAGUCUGCUUGCUAGCAAGAUUGCUAAAACUUGAGCCGAUCUGUGGAAGCCACUAUGGAUUUCUAUGGACAGAAUGAACUGUAUUUAUUGAAAAUAUAUAAGAUCAAAUAAAGUCUGUAAACAAACAUAAAAUUUGUCACUUCAAAGUAAAUUCUUCUUGGGAAAAGUGAAUCAGCAAACUGAACAAACCAUAGUAACUGUCAAGGACUCUCAUUAAUCUAAUUCAAUUAAGAAAACAUAACUGAUACUCCAUACUGAAUACAAAAAGAAAUUGUUUCUUUCUAAACUAAUUCAGCUAUCAAAUUUUCUUUGUUUGUAAAAAAAAUUUCAUGGGUUUUCUUGUACCCAUUCUCACACUACCUUAUUUAAGGGCUUCAUCUAUAGGUUUCCUUUGGAUAUAUCAACAUCAUAUUAAAAAAAUUUUCACAUUUUACAUCUAAUUUGCUUUAUUCUUUUUUUUUUAAUAAUUCAAUACAUCCUUCUCCUUCUCAGCAACAUUAACCUUUUGCAUAUGUUAUAUUUAACUACGCAACAUUAUGAUCCAUAAUUCAUAGCUAACAUUUCACAAUCCAAUAAAAUAUUCCUAGUAAUCUAAGGGACAUAUUAUGAUCACACAACACUCCUAAUACCCUAAUUCACCUUAUCCACGUUGUUGUAACCAUGUGGACUAUAUCUUCAUUAAUAUUCUCAUUCUAUCAAACAAGCCCAAGAUACUUUUAGAAAAAUUCUUGUACAUCUAUUUUAGUUAUAAUCAUACCCUCUAUUUUCUCUUGAUAUUGCGAAGUCACAAUUAAAUUUUUUUAUCUUAAUUCCACUUGAUCUAAAGCUGUAAUUGUACUUAAAAGAUUAUUCAAUUUGCAAAACAAAUUUUAGUGAAGGUUCGAAAGCAUUCAAUAAAAUGAUGAAUGAAUAAGAGUUACAAUAAUUUGCAAUACUUUAUCCAUUUUUAAUCUAUGAAGAAAGGCAUUAAUAAAAUUUGGUUAUAUUUUCCGUACAACUAUAUAUUUAGUAGAAGUUAAACAGUCUAAAUAAUUAAAUGAAAGAAUGGCAGGACAGAGUUAUUUGUUGCUCUUAAAUUAUUGAAAAGAUCUUUGAAAGUCCAGCAACACAAGAAUUCCACUCCAAGGAUGUAGAAGUAUAAUAUACUACCUUUUUUCCGUGUUCAUAUGCUUGAUCCAAUAGAUAUGAGUACUCCAGGUCUUCAAAGCACUUCUGAAGCGAAGAUAAUGGUUCAUUAAAGUAAACAGGAAGGCAUACUUUUGUCAGAUCCUUCCCAACAUUAUCUUUAAUUAUUGACCAAAGGCUAACACCUUUUUCCCUCUCAAUAGGUUUUGGUAACUUCGUACGCCUUUUAGUAUGCAGCAACAUAUUCUGAUAAUUUAGCUGCCCUUCAUCCAUUAUAUUGUUAUCACAACAGUUAUUCUCUAUUCCAGAAGUCCUAUCAGAAUCACCUGAGGCUAUUACUUUAGAGGCAGAAUCACCGAAGCAUUCACUUGUAUCAAAAAAGGAAAAUUCAUCUUCAUCUGACAAAUCAUCAAGCUCUUGCUUUUCAACAUCAUCAGAUGAUUCAGUUGUACUGUACUCUGAUAAAAAAGACAAUAUAAGAAAACAGACAUUUGAAGACAGACUUUUAGUGACAUAUGACAAACCAGAAUCCUUUUAGUUUAUAAUGAUAAAUACCAAGAAAUUGAUAGGUUAAUUGUAUCAUCUCAUUCCUAGUCUCUAAAUUCAUAUACUUCAAAUCAUAAUUAUUCCCUUGGUUCCUAUUCAUUAUAUUUGAUUUCAAUUUAUCCACUGUUUUUUUCAUAAACAUACUGGUUCUUUAAAUGUAUUUGACCAAAUUAUGAAUGACUUAAUAUGAGUAGGAAAGUUAUUACAUCAGAGGUAGUUUUAUGCAAUAGACAUUUAAAUCAUCAUUUUUCCUGUACUUUAUGGAUGUUUGACAGAGAGCUUGACAAAGUCUGUGUGGGAAGCUUUGCUCAUCCCUAUAAAGUUAAAAAGUGAAAAAGUGAGAUAUCUGAUACACUCAGAAACAGGGAACAUUUUGCUGAAUCACACAGACAUGCUGCCAAGUAUCAACCCUACCAAGCAAAAUUAGGCUGCAUAUCACUGAUGGCUUGGUACAGCUACUAAAGUUCAAUUCUUAUGCUUUUUGGUUUAGAGCUGAGACUGAUUCACCAAGUGAACCAAUUGAAGCUUGUAAGUUGUGACUUGAAGCAACCUAGGUGCUUAGCUAUGAUAUUUAGAUGCCUUUACCAGAUGGGGUUGCUAGUUUCUUUAACUAGUAACAGAGAUGAGGAUGGUUUUUUUUUUUUUAUCUUUUUGCUAUUCCAUUCUUCCUCUCUCUUCUCUUUUUUUCUAAUAAAAAAAUUUCAAAUGGCCAAAGAGUAGUUCCAAAGCCUCCAAAAGCUUAAGCUAAUAGAAGAAGGACCAAAAUUCCACAUAAUCAAGUAAGCUCUAAAACCAACACCCCACCCCAACAACAACAGAAGAUGAAGAACAAAAAGAAGGAGCCAUCCAAGGUGAUUAAGAGUAAAAUGCUUAGUGGGCUUUGCAUGUUCAAAGCAAAAUAUGAUAGUUUAAGCCAAAAAUAGGGUAAUGGGAUUCUCAAUAGACCCAGACAAGGUGAAAGAUAAAGAAAAAGAAGCAGAAAAAAUAGAUACAAGUUUCAGACACAUGACGCACUCUGACAGCAUCAUGAAAUAUUAUUUUGUUGACUGCUCUUGCCAAAAGCAUAAGCAAGUAGGAAACAUACCAAAAUUACACAAUAUUUAGCAUUACCAAAAAGUAUCGACAACAAAAAUACUACUGCUUGACAAAUUGAAACUGGAGUUGGAAAUACCAUUAAAUUUUACAUGUGCAGAGCUUGAAUAAUCAUACUUGGUUAACUGCACUUGAGCUUCACUAAUUCCCACAUCUAAAUCAACUUCCUGCAAAUAUAAAUAUUUUUAGAAACGAUAUAUUCAAGAAACAAAACAGGUUUUUAAACCUAUGAAAGAAAAGGAAACUGUCCCUGGCCCCCUAGCAGGGGUAUAGUAUCCUGUAUAGACCAAUAAAAUUGCAAAAAAUUGUGUAUAUCCUUGCAGAUAUUACUAACAUACUGUAUAUCCUCCAAAAACAUUUCUGCCAAACGCCUAUUAGCUAUUUAUUAAAAGUGACUAUUGUAUCCUCUGUUUGAAAGAACUCACUAUGAAAGGCUUCAAAUGAAUUUGAUCCAUUAAAUGUUGACAUGGCAUGGAUCUAGAUCAUGCUAGGACUGACAUGGUACCAACAUUUUGCAGCAACACAAUGCUGAUAAGGUGAUGAUAUGUCAAACACAUGAACAUGAUGUCAACAAAUUUUGACCUCUAUGCACCAUGUGACAGCUACAUCAUGAUUGCGAAAUCAUCACUAUUGCACUGCCAUAUACAUGCUGUAUAAUCAUUGCCACAUCAUCCCCAUGGCACCUGAUGCUAACUUCAGGAUCAUGUGGCAAUGAUAUGGUGGCCAUGUUAACAGCAUUAUUUUUUGUUUGCACGAAGGCAAUUUGGUCUUCUAUCAUGCAUCAUUUAAUUAAUCAUACAUUUAAUUAGAUUUAACUCAGAUAAGUAACAGUUAAUAAUGAAAAUUAACAAUGGGGAUAACUGGUGAAAAGGUUGUAAGAGUAUGCAGGGCAUUCUAGAUGUUUGCAAAUCAUAGGGGUAUAUAUAUAUAAUUAUAUAUACUUAAUACUUACACCAUACCAUAUUGGGUACACCAGAAAUUGCCUAUGGAAAAUAUCUGUAAGGUAGAAGAUCUAUAACAUCAUUAAGACAACUUUUAACGGAAGACCACGACAGCUAAACAAUUAGUUAGUGUACCUUAUUAUUUAGCAGUUUCAGAAAAUUCUAACAUAGAAUUACUAUCCAGGAAUCCACGAAACUUCAAUAGACAAGCUCAAUACAGAAAUAGCAAGUUCGGUAUAGGGAACAAUCUUCAUCACCAAAGGAAAAAAGGGCCAGACAAAUAGAACAUGAUCCAUGUGCUUUGAGUAUGAACAUCUCAAAACAAAAAAAAAGGAUCCUUGGAAUUUGACUAUUCAAAAGAAAGCAGCUGAAUUUUCUAGAACAUAUGCCACUAUGGAAAAGCAGCAAACAUCAUAUGCAACUGUGAACAUAUGCAACUAUGGGAAAGAGCAAAGUCAUAAUUUCAAAGCAAAAUAAUUACUUCACCUUAUUUUGCAUAAAUAAGCAGACAAACAAUACCUUUAACACCUGGAAAGAGACCAGAUUCAAUUUGCAAAGCUAAAACAUAAUAAGAAAGCAUGCACCUCAAGUUAAUGGAUAGAAAGCAACAUUAUUAUAGCUUAUGACAUAUUUGGGCAUUUUCCAGUCAAUGCCAUCAAAAUCCAACAGUAUCUGAAAAGGACAAUUCCUAAAAUAAUCUGCUUAUGAUUCAAUACGUUUUUUAUGUACUUGGACUAUUACAAACAAUAAACGAAAGGAUGACAAAUGACGCUCAGAAGAACUUUUCGUUUCCCAUACUAGUAAGUCUAAUGAUCUGCAGUCUUCUCCAAAGUAAAGAACUAAUAAAAAUAAUGCUGGUUGAAAUACUAUAGUGAACUAGCAAAACAAAGAAUAUCAUCUAAGUCUAAGAUACUAAAAAUAAUCAAGCCACACGUUGUUGACUUUGUUCAAAAAGUACCUCCAGCUGCCGAUGAAAUGUACUAAUAGAGCUUAAGUGCUCUUCAUAUUGAAGCUUCAAUUGUCUGUGAUACUCAGAAAACUCUGAAUGAAUAAUCUGCUCACAGUCCCUUAUGAGUGACUCAUCCAAGCCCUCAACUUGCAUUCGAGCUCUAAGCUUUUCAGUUGAAAUCGAUGCAUCAUUUGGAAUGAAAGAUAUUUCUCUACGUAAUGCAAAUUCUUUUGUUGCCAAAAUCAAAGCCUGAAUCCAGGCCACACGGUCUAUGCUCGAACGGGUCCUCAAGCGAAGUGUCUUUGUUGGAGAAAAUAUAUAGAAUCUUCUGUCAUCUGUCUUACUUUCACGAAAUGAUGAGACCUGAGGCAAGUACAAAAUAAAUUCAUUAAAACCUGAAUGACAGUAUGCUUCAUGCCAAAGCGGCAUGUUGCUUCAAGAAUCUGCUCUAUCAACAAGUUCCAUUAGUAUCACAUUUCAUGCAUGCCACUGGCACACAUGAAGCAGGUUAUCGCACUUCAUUGAAAAAGGUGAAAUAUGCAACAUGUUCCAUUCAUCACAAAGUGCUCUGCUCAUUAUUUUUUGAAAUAAAGUAGGAUAUGACCAAGAAAAAAAACUUCACAGAUAGACAGAAAGAAAAUAGAUGUAAGAGGAGAAACAGAAAGACAAUAAAACCAAGAGAUUCAAAAAUACUACAAAAUCUUAGAUUGAAAAUUUUUCAACACUCGAAACCUAAAACAACUUAUAUGAAGAUUAAAAAGCAAUAAGGUCAACAACACAUUUGAUGCUUCAAAGCUGGAAGUGGACCAUCACGUUGACAGAGAUGUAAGGUAAAGUAAUUGUUCAAAAAGGAUUUAUUGAAAUCAUGAUUCACCUUUCCGGUCUGUAUAGGAAUAUCGAUCGGUCGUCGGUACAGUAUGUACCGAACCAUACCGAUGUACCGACACACAGUAUAGUAGGGCGUACCAACAAACCAAUAUAUACCUCUCAUAUCAGUUCCCUAUCAGACUGGUUCAUACCGCCCAUACCAGACGGUACGUUACGGUAUGACGAACUUUAAUUGAAAUUAUGAAGCAGACAAAAUAAUAAGAGUGCCAAGUAAACUUAUUGUUCUUUGAGAUACUUUGUUAUAUAGAUUGUAUCAUAACAAAGUACCAAUUAAAUAAAUAUGGCUCCAUGCAAGCAUAUCAAGACUAAUAAUUUAAAUAUCACAAAAGAGUAUUCAUGCUUUGGUUGAUAUCAAAAUAGUGCCAACUAUGUUUAAGAACCUAAAAUUAAAUUUGGUCACUCAUGUUUCAGGUACUACAUAUAGAUACAUAAUGAUAACAUGAAUAAGAGAAACAUAACGGCACACGAUUAUUAAUGGAAUGAAUGCCUUAGCGGCCCAUCUUGUAGCCUAAAUUCUUUGGUCCUAGAAAACAUUUUUGAGCAGAUUGGUCACAAGAGAUUAAUUUAAAACUGAUGUAUGGUUACAAAUGAAAUUUCAUCCUAGAUGUUCAUCCAGGUUUUAUUCAUCACAGAAAGAAUAAGCUCUUCCCUACUAAGUUACAAAGUAAAAGUUUCCUUCACACAAGCAAUCGUUUUUUUCUCUCAAACAAGCAAAAAUGUAUGGUGCCUAUGUUUAACUUUGGUGUGCUUCUAUUUUGUCAAAGACCAAAAGAGAAUUCAAAAUUCAUUUCAGCUUUCCAGGCUGGAGUGAUCAAGCAAGUUAGUGGCAAGUUCAUAUUUCAGCAUGAAGAUCAUAGAAGUUCAAACUGUUGGACCCGCACUUGCAAACUACUACAGUAUUUCCAGUUAAAAAACAUAAUAACCUAGACUUAUCACUUAAAUAUGUCCCCCCGAGCACUAUAACCUGUCAAAAACUGCUGCUUUACCUUACAAUAUUGAGUUGCCAAUAGGUUCGUUAGAGUAAAUAUCAUCAGCACUUUGUAGCGUUUAUCCAGAACUGGUAAAACUAUUGGUCUCAAACAACACUAAAUUACGUACAGGCAAACCACUCUAUGUGACCACAUUUUGAGAAUCAUUAAUCUACACCAACGAAAUACGCUAAGACAAUAAAGAGUGUUCAUUGCUCCCUACCAUUUUAACAAAAGUUUUCUUUUUUAAGAUCGGAAGCAUAAGCAAAAAACACUCUUAACCAUAGGCCCUGCAGCUUCAUCAAAAUAAAAUAACAGCAAUAACAAUGAUAAUAACAAUAUAUUAUUUUUUGCGCCUCCUAAGUCAUAGGGCGGACUCUUAUUCGGAGGUGCCUCCUCCAUCCAGCGUUCGCAUACACCUUCCGAUCGUGGAUUUAACAUGGGGGACCAAAAACCACCAACGAAGAAGCAGAAGCUCGAUCAAUUCUCACACGAACGAAGAAGGUGCGAAAUUUCUCGGUAACAACGCGUCUCAAAGCUGGGUUGCUUACUAAAACAGAGUCCAAAGUGCACGAACGAAGAGAUCAAACGACAAGGAAGAAGCAGCGCAAUGAAUCAACACGAACCGAAGAAGGGAUUCAACCGGAUCAAGACACAUAAAAACACCCAUGGGUAAAGCAGAGCUAAGAGAAUGACGUAAUGGGGGGGUGGGGGGGGGGGAAACCAAAGCGGAAGAAGAGAACAAACAAUAAGACAGAGAAACAAGAACCAGCCUCGGACUGCUUGCUUGCUUGCGUCAAAGAAUCCAAUCGCUGAGGCCAAAGUCCAGCUGUCGCUGCUCUCCUCUCUGCGCCCUUGUGGCAAGAACAGCAGCCGCGGUACGGGUCGCCCGUUCCUGAUUAUUUAUAUACAUAUCCCCGUUGGCCUAAGCAAAGGGGACAGACACCACCCAUCGACCUCACAAGAGCAAACGAGACCGCUCCACCGUCGAUGCCCUCGUCUCCCUCUGCCUCUCCUACUUCAAGAUACAGAUUCCCACGCAGCUAUCAACGCCAACAGCCAAGGUAGGAGAGGAGGAGACGCGACUUCCGACCCCCUGUUCCUUCGCCCAGCCAAAUGAUGCGACCCACCCUUGCCAGUUUUAGCCAGUGGCAGGCCGGCACAUGGCUCGCUCUCGGCGUCUGGCUUCCGAGGCUUCAUCCCAACCGCUCAUUCGAUUUAGUAAAUGAAUUUAUUUAGAAGCGACUGUUUCAUCUCCUUUUUCUUCUCAUAAAAAUUUCGAUUUAAAUGCAUUAACCCAAUUCGAAUCAGCCGACGAUCACAUUCCUACCAUCCGACUAAAUCAAGAAACGAAAUAUUUAUACUUGGAGCGCCGUUCAGGUGAUCGAUCGCUUCCUCGCUUACCUUCAGAUGAACGACGCGCACCGGCUUCCGGGCCCUACGGCCGCCCCCGUGGGAGAAGAGAGCGGCGGCGCUCCCGAUGAGGCGGACCCCGCCGCCGUCGGGCACCAGCGGCGGGUCCCCGCGGCGGAUCUUGGAGUAGGACAGCACGCCGCUCUGGAGGGAGAACCACCGGUACCGCCAUCCCUUGCCGAUGUUGGUCCACUUGCAGAGGACCCCGGCGACCGCGACGGAGAAGCCGUCGCCGUAGCCGUCGCGCCCGGGCGGCGGGUGGGCCGGCACCGGCGGAGACCGCCCGCCGAGCUCGGGGCAGUCGAUGGAGAUGCAACAGAGGGGGUGCGGCAUCUCCCGCGCUCGCAUCGCGAUCGAGGAUUGCGCUCCGAAAACUGGGUGCGAUGCGGGGGGAUUUAUCCGGCUAGGGCUUCCACGUCCGUUCGCGGUCUGGCGGAGAAGCUUCGGAGGAAGCGGGGAAGGUGCGGUUCUUAUAUGGUAUCAGCCUUCGGCCUUCAUCCUGCUGUGAUGCCUGUACGCGAAUUUCUCGUGAUAGGGAUGUGCGCACGCGAAGCAGAAGAGGGAGAGGACGGAGGGAAGACGAGAUUUUUAUGCGCUUCAAAGAAACGUAGGACGUCGCUACUGUUACUGCAUGUUGAUGUAUCAACCAAGACCUAAUUGUAAUCAGAACCUGGAAAUGAGCCCCAUUAGUAGAACAGGGGAACAUGACAGGUGAGUUAGAAGGCAGUUGAAACUGAGUUAGGGACCAUUCUUGGAGCUUAUGUUUGUGAUGCUUCAAAUCUUACAUUUGGACUGAGUUAGAUUUCAUCAAAUCUUAUAUUUUAAUGUUCUUUUUUACUUAGUCCAAUCUUUUAUUUUUGCAAAUAAUUCCUUAGGGGGCAAAAUUAGAUAGAGAAUCUAAUAAUAUCUGAAGAGUACAUAUUUGUAUUAUUAUUAUUAUUAUUGGGGUGAAUUUCUAGAAAACUCUUCUUUUAUUUUUUUCUCAAGAAGUGUCUCUUUUUCCAUAUUUGUACCUGAUAUAAUUAAUAAUACAACUUGAAUAGUAUGGUCUAAUUUCUUAAUUAUAUAUUUUUUAAUAAGCUUAUUAUUUUUUAAAAAAUAUUAUAAGUCUAUUCAGAAAUAUGUAGCUGAUGUGGACGUAUCCCUAUUUGGUUAUUAUUAUUCCUAAAUCAAUAAUGAUAUUUAUUUAAAAUUAUUUUUAUAUAUGAGUUGAUGAUAAGAAAUAUAUUAAUGACCAAUCAUUAUCCAUCACAUAAGCGUUCACAUGGAGACUAUAAGGAAAAGAUUCACGUCACUUUUCAUCAAAGCUAUCUAUCUUUCUUAUUGUUCAUAUGGAUAAAACGGACAUUGGAGCGGUUAUAGAUUGUGUCAGACCAAGUAUAAACGCUACACUAGAAAGCUCUUUUUCUUUUAGAAAAAACUCAUACCUACUAAAAAAAUAUUAGUCACUAACUUUAACAAAGAAAGGAUUAGAUCGAGAAUUUUUUUCUGACAUCAAUCUUAGUGCAGGUGAUGCCUCAAGAACCCGAUACUUUCAUCUCGAAACUACCUUGAUCAUCACCUUAGAUGAUCCUGUGCCUUCGGAUUUAGAUCACGUCAUGUAAACUCCGAUAUCGAUGAUAAUUUCCCCCAAUAAUUGAUUUUUAUUGAGUUUUGAAUUAAUUUACCUUAAUUAGAAUAAAUAAAGUAUAGAAGCAUAUUUAAAAAUAUUAUAAUUGAUAUUAUAAAUAUUAUACACGAGGGAUUUAUAACAUGGUAUAGGUGUUUAACAUAUUUACUCUGGUAUUUUAUGAAUUAUGAUAAAUAAGAGAUGUGCUUUAAAAUAUUAAAAAACUUUAAAAAAAAGUUUGUUUUAGAAAAAAGGCACGCUAUAUAUUAAAAUGAAAAAAUAGAAUUUUUGUCGACGUCAAUCAACCAAGAUUUGGGCAUCAGGAUGAAAAGCAUACCUAAAUUAUCACCCAUUCGUGAACACACCAUCGUCCUCCAAAGCAACGAAAGCGACUAUCGAGGAAAUGCAUGGUGAGUCCCACACAUGAUGAAGAUGAUGAGAAGUCGAUAAAAAGCGGAAAGCAACGAGACUUCCCACCCCGUACGCCCAUGAUUAGACUCUCGGUCAUUGUUCCCAACAGUGGGGGACUGUUGAUCGUCAACGCCCACUAUAUCGGCGAGAAGAACACGGUCGAGCGGGCGAGAUGACGAAGGGGCGGAUGCCACUUCGAGCUAGCUGAGAUGACGGAGGAACGAGGCCGGCAGAAUGAUCACCUCCCCAUGUGCCCUUGUCAUCAUCUGGCUCAACCCUGAACUCUCCCUCGAGCUUACGGUGGCGUGGCGUUGCCGAGCGAUAAGUGCCAUGGUCGCGGCCGCUGUACUCCUUUUCCACUACGGGGAACCAGUGGCCACCUUAUCUGGAGAUGGUAGGUCCAGGUGCUGCAGACAGAGACCAGAGCAAAGGACGUCCCUAGUUUUGAUAAGAUUUCUUCGGUGUUAAUUGAUUCAAGACUCUCUCUCUCUCUCUCUCUCUCUCUAUUAUUCUUUCUCUCUCUGCUAUGAUCAGGAUUACCCUGUGUUACAGAUGAACUGUAAAAAGCAGGAGACACCUUGUGCUUUGGAAAUGUUUAUCGGACUUGGCUAUCUUCGGAAGGAAGAAAAAGGAAGCAAGAAAGAAAGAAAUGGGGUUGGAAUCUGCAGUCCUGUGGCAAUUACACCAUCAUAUUCUCCAUGUUUAUAUUGCUUUUGUUGCAGGCAAAAAGAAGAGAGUCACCAAAUGGUUGGGACAUUGUGAAACAGUGGACUUGGUUUGCACUCCAUGUUCUUGGACCUUGGUGGUUGGAUGGCAUGAAUGGACGACACGGACUGUCGACAAAUCGACAUACGUGAACUAUUUGGAUCUGAUCCCAACAUGAUAUCUCAAAUGUGUCUAAAGACCUCGUAGCGUCCUUUCAGGAGCAGUGAUGGUGGACGCCCAUGUUAUCGUAUCUACCUAAUGGCAUCUCGACCCAGGGAAAACUCCAGUCGCAUGAUUGACACGCACCCACUUUGCCAGCCAAAUAUGGAUGAAGAUGCACCAGCGUGCUAUAUGAUUAACUGCAGCUAUUCACUGCUGUUACAAAGAAUGAUAAUGAUAGCUUGACCAACAAAGCAUGGCAUCAUGGUUGCACCAAUGAUCACAAAAAAAUGAGGUAGGGAUGCAGGAAGGACAUGCCAUGGUCUGUGAAGCUGUGACAUUUAUUGAUCAUUUACAGUGAAUCUCGGCAGCUGUCUGCAUGUUCUUCCCCAGCUUGCAUUGCAUCGCAUUGCUGGUCCACUGAACUAAAGCAGUCAAAAUCAACUGAACUGGAGACCUAAUCAACCUUAUUAGUACAGAGAAGAAGGCUUUGAUGUUUGUAGGUUGGUAUUUGUUCAAAUGACUUACGGUCAAUGUGAGAUUCGCACAGCUUGGGGACUUUGAAAAGUUCAACCUUCGUUGCAUCGUGAGAUGAGGAGAGUACAGUUUCCACUGGACUUAUGGUUGGGAGAAAACAUGAAGGAUUCCUGUGAGUUUGCAGUAGGGUAAUAUACUCCAUGGUUGAUUAGCUACCGGGAUCUCUCUCGGUUCUUGUGGUCUUUUACCAACUCUCCCACAGCUGGAGAAUCUAAAGACCGAGCUUUGGGGCAUCUUCUGGUGCUUCAGGUUUCCCUUCUUGUCUUGUAGAGAGCUUCUGUUUUGAAUUGAUGUUCACAUCCAGUGAGGGCCACAUCGUGAGUGGAAGAUCCACCAUUGGAAGAUAAGGCCUUGAAAGAUGUUGACUACACUUCUGAGGUCGCAUAUUGUGCACCAACCAAUUCUUGCAUACCAAAUUACCUCUUUCUUUUGUUAUGUCAUAAAUGGAGUGAACGAAGCGACUUUAAGGAGUCCGGUUGGCAUACAGAUUUCUGCAUCUAUAGACGGAAUGUUCCAAAGGAGAGACUUCCAAGUUGAUGUUCAUUCAAAUCUAUUUCUUGUUUCUGGUGAUGAGAUAUGGAGUAUCCUUUCUCCUGUGGUUGUGUCUAUCUUAUCAUGGGCACGAAUAUUAUCUGUAUAUGCCUUCCAAAUCUGGAGUCUUUGAUGCACAAGCUUUUGCAUCAAGUAUGAAGGUGAGAAGGACCGGUGCUCCUUAUGUCUUCUAUUCUGGCUUCCUGUUAACAUCAAACAGCAACCAUCACUGGUUAAAUUUAACAUAAGAGAUCAAAGGAAUACAAGAUGGUAACAGAUUGAACAACAAAAAUUUCUCAUAGAAAAACCUAAUGAUAUAUGACUAUAAUAUCUGAACAUUUUAGCCUAUAGUUGGCUUAUGAUUUCACACUGGCAUCCCUUCUACUUGUUGCAUCAAACAAAGGACAAAUUAGAGGCUAGAGAAAACUGCUGGAAGCUUGUCAAAAACUCACCCAUGGUUUUGAUGACAGCGCACACAUUCGACUAUCCAAAAAGGUUUUAAAGAGAAUGAGUUACAGCAAAUGCAAGAAUCUGUUAACUGAGAUGAUAUGUAUAAUACUAUGCAGAAUCAGCUCAAGUAACUGAAAGCUCUAUGUUACAGAAUUUAAGCCUAAAAUUUUGAACUCGAAAUCCAGAAAUGCAAAUUUGACACUUUAGAAAAGUAUUAGCACCUUCUACCGAUGGUUUAAGGCCUUGGUUGAGCGCCUACUUCUAACAGGAACCACCCAAUUUUCCUCACUGGUCCUGUGAGACCUCUUCUUCCCAAGCUCAUACUUUAUGGCAUAGAGAUCCUCACAGAUUUCAUGCCUCGAAAGAGAGAUGAUCCCUGGCAAUAUAUCCUUCUGGAAAUCCCGCAUUCCCCUACCUAGCUUAAACUUGCAUACGUCCUUCCUAGUCUCAUUGUCAAUUUGUUUGGCGCAGGUUGAAAUUCCAUUAUCUCUUAUCUCCUCUAGAUUCAGUGUUCCCAUCUCAAAAGAAUCAGAAGACUGAGGCUGAUCAUUGCCUUCUUCACAAUAAAAUUCCAUCCGCCCAUUGUUAGUCAAUUGAUCCACCGAACACAAUGGCUUCUCUGAAGAAAUAGAUGCAAGUAUCUCAGCUGCCUUGAUAAUUACAUGAUCUACCUCUACUAAAGCAAGCUGCUGUUCAGAUAUUUGUCCAUCCUGUCUGCAGAUACAGUCAGAGCCAUUAACAUCUGAAACCUGUUGGCCGCAAAUCCUUUCGGGCAUCACUGAGUCUAUGUGUGUAGUUGCAGAGUUCUCUGAUUUGGAGAUAACUGCAUGAUCUACGACACUUUUUUCCUUUGAGGCCCAUUCACUGUUUCCAGCUAACUGAUUGGGCUUAAACCCAAUAGGAGACUCCUUAAGUUCAAUUUGUUGACAUUCAUCUGGAACUAUGGCAUGACUUGAUACCGUAUCCUCUUCACUCCCAUCAAUAUUUGUCUCUUUCUCUGCCACAUCUCCAGCAGCUUCUGGUGGCAGAUCGGUGGUACUCCCAGCUGAUGCAUGCAAGCAGUUGUGUUCCCUAUACUUACUGGAAAUUAAAAUAUUCUUUUUCGAAUCACCAUGUACAACAAGAUUAGGUGGGCUGAUAAAUGAGUCAAUAUUUUCCAUUCCAGGUUCAUGUAAGCCUGCAAGUACUGUCCUAUUUGUACUGUCCUGGGCUCCCCCAUUGUAGGCACUCGAAAAUCUUUCCAACAAAUUUUUGUAACAUGCUUCGGGGAUUCUGAUGCCUGAUCUGCAAUCUUCAUUAUUAACAAUGCACUCUUUGUAGUUCCAAAUAUUCUCUAUGGCAUUAUUAUUCUGUUCAGAAGCUUGUACCGAAGAAGGAUAGGAAUCUAUAUGUUCAUGAGGCAAUGAGUCAGCACUCUUUUCCCUUGAAUUUUCUGAACCAGGGGAUACAACAGCAAGCUGAUCGGUGACAGUGGAUUCUUUUGCACUCCCAUCUUUUUGUUCAGAUUUGAUGCUUGAUACUCUCAAAUCAUCUCCAUGGUGGACAAUUGAUGAACUUGUUGAUGGAGAAUGAAGUGUUUCUACAGUAUUUGAAAAAAAAGUAUUAGAUUCAUCAUCUUGAGCUAUGUUCAGGUCAAUGUGUGUAAGUUUGUAUUCUGGUUGUUUCUUCUUGGUGGGAAAAUUGGGAGAUACAGAGCCUCCAUUUUCUUCUAAUCCUGAACAAGUUCCAGCAAAUAUUAAGACAUUGAGUAAAAACCAAAAUAGUGACAGUUAGUGAAGCAAAGUAGCUUUCACAGUUGGCUAGAAGAUGAAAAUCCUGCUGGAUGCCUAUCUCGAUAAGCCUGGCAUUAAACGACAAUUAUAACAAGUUGUCAACAUUCAGAAAAAUAAAGGAAAAGAAGCAUCCUAGAUAUUUCUUAAAAGGAUGUUAUCAGAACUAGGCUGGAUAACUCCAGGUAAAAUUUGUUAUGAGAAACAUGAUUUUUUUUUUUUCAAGGCAAAAUGCUAUCUUCAAUCUUCAAGUAAAUGGUGGUCAGUCACACACUGAAACCAAGACUAACAAAACCAACCAUAAAGACCAAUUCUCAAUCCAUAUAAAUUCAUACUGUCUGACCAAAAUAAGUUUAACAGUCCAUUCUUUAUGAAGUUAUCAGAAAUAAAACACUCAAGGAUCGUCAAUAAAACUAACAGUAUGAAUCUUUAAAUCACAGCUAUAGACAGAAAUUUUAAAUUAUUAUCUUAAUCUAAAUACGUGGAUUUAAGAAAACCUCAGUGUAAGCAAAACAGAUAUAAAACUAGUUAACGUUCCAAUUUGACCACAAUAUAGAAAAGCUUCUAGAAGAUAAAUUUUAGUCCAGUGACAUCCAAAAAGAAAACGAAAAGAUGAAUGGGUAUUGAAUAUGUAAUAUUAUUAUACAAAACACAUCACUAAAGUCUCUGUCGAGACAUCCAUAUUGAUAAGUAUAUUGUUACACUUACACAAGUGAUAGGUCUCAGGUUCAAUUCCACGUAUAAGUGUCAUGUACGUUAUUUGAUUUAAUGAAAAUUUCUUCUAAUUAAAGAAAAAAGACUGCUAAAAUUAUAUUCAAAAGUUCAUUUAACAAGGCCAAACAAAACAUCUACUCAGUUUUAAACAAUUGCAGGUAAAUAGACGUUUCUUAUACUCUGCUAACCAUAAUAAACAUCAAAAAUAGUAGUGUGAUCAACAAAGAACUGGGGAAAAGGGAGAAAAGGAAGAGAAAAGAAAAUUUGUGGGAAACAGAAAGGCUAUUUCAUUAAUUAGAAACUUGUUCUUCCAGACUUGCUUCAUAUAUUGAUAGGAGUUAUGAAGAUGAUAGUUAGUCCUGUCAUCUAAAAAUUCUCAACAAUUAAUAAGAGUUUCAAAAUAUGAUUCCUUACAGUAAAAUAACUAGAUUAAAUUGUACCAUAGUCUUAUAGGAUAUACAAAAUUGAUUUGACGCAUAACACAGACUUUUUUGUUGGCCUACUGAACCAGUCACUGAAAAUAAAGGUGACCUCCUCAAAUUAGCCAAGCAACACUAGGGGCUGAGAAAGAUCUUAUAAAGGAUCCUCCAUGACCUAAAUUGAUCUAACCACAUGCUUUUUGACUCUAUUGAUAUCGGCAUUGAUGAAAUAUGUAGGGAUCCCAAUCGGCAUCUCAAUUGAUAGGCAUAAUAACAAUGAUAUUAUGUCAAAUAAGCAAUCCUUCAACAAACUGAAAUAUCAUGUGAAAGAGGCAAAUUGACGACCCUUUCCAUAUCUGUUGGAUGGUUUGCAAACAAAUCAUUGACCAACAUCUGGAUUGGUUAGAUAUGCAUAAAAUGCACAAGAUCAAACUUGUCCCUGAAUGUUUCAGGCAUUCAUAUUUCUUCUUUCCAAUAAACAAAAGAAUACAACAACAAUAACAAAAUUAUAAGUCCCAAUUAUUUGGGAUCUGACUACAUGGAUCUUUUACCGUCAAAAAAUAAAAAAAUAAAAUAUUAAAUAAUAAGCAGACUUGUUAGUCCCAAUUAUCUCGAAUCGACUACCUGAUAUUUUACUGUAAAAAAAUAAAUGAAAGAAACAUUAAAUAAUAAUGUAAUGUUUUAUCUAUACAUUUGAGAGUUUGGCUAGUUUAAGAAGUGCAAUGCAAGAAGUGUUUCAUUCUAUUCGUGAGCAAAAAAAUAGAUAUAUUUCUAUUUCAAUGAGGUACUAAAGUAUCAAUUUCAUUAUAAAAACUCACCAGCAUCUGAGUGGAUAAAGUCGAGUUCUUGCCAUCUUUCAGUCUGAUGCACAGAAUGGGAACACUUGGCUGUCGUCCUAUGGCCAGAUUUGUUCUGCAUUUUGAUUACCGAACAAAGGUCAGAAAAAGCAGCAACUCGAAGAUGACUGAUAUCCAGCAUAAUCUGCAAGUGCUUCGAAGCCAGAAGAGCAACUGACCUUAACCUCUGUAGCACUGAAGUCGACCUUCACAUGCCCUGCACCAAACAACACAUUGAUCAAAACAUGGACCGGAGUACUUUUGCGAAGGCAUUUGUGACAUCUUUGGUGGAAUCCUUGAUAAACUCACCUGCAGGAAGUUGAAGAUCGAAGUUCCUCCUAUCGUUGGCACGCAAUUCAAAUGAAGUGUUCUGCAUCCCCAUCGAUUUCGCCUGCGGAUUGGUAUCGAAGUAUUAGAAUCGGAAGAUCUCCAUGAUUCACCCACCAAUAUCCCAACCCAAGGUUUUGGAACAAGCCCUAGACGGGCGCAUCUUACCGUGGAGCAGCCAUGUCGCACACUGCCGGCUUUUACCUCCUCCACCGGUCCCUUGCGUUCUUUCUGUGCCUCGAGAGACGAUACGCGAUCAGAUCGUCUCCAGCGAACAUCAUUCAUCAAAUUCUUCUGCGUCCAAUACAGGCGAUGGAGCUCUCGCACCUACAAAUCGGGAAGCCCAAACACCCCCUCGUGCUUUCAAGAAACCAAGAACAGAGCGAGAAGGGAUUCAUAGAAGCACAGAAAAGGGGAAACAAGAACCUGGUGCUUGAAUAAGAUCUCGUGCUGAAUCAUCGCUCGCUUCAGUUCCUCCUUCACGUGGUCCUCGUAGUCCGGUGGCGGCAAGUGGUUUAGGUCCAAAACACCUUUCGUCGACGCCAUCGUCGUCGUCGUCAUCACAGAUACAAGCACUUCUUCACAUCUCAAGAAUCUCUUGUCAAAGACCCUAAGCUACCGUCGUGGAAGGAACAGAACAAAGCGACGAACCACGGAAGCGAGGGAGGAAGAAGAGUCUUCGAUCUCCCAUGAAUGGAGGCAUACAAAGAGAGGAGAGCGAGCGGCCGAAAUCUAACUUUCGGCGCUCUUCUCUGCCGUUGCCGCCUGUGCCGUUGCUUUUGUUUCCCUUCCUUCCCCUUUCCUCCUUGAUCCGCACCGUCGUCAGCUACUGCUCAUGUUGUGAUUACUGUCAAAGGAAACACCAUCAAAAAGGAAAACAUAAAGAGAGCUUUUGUCUUCCUCCUCCUCCUCCUCCGUCUGCUCCUGCAGUUACUCUACCUGGAAAAAGAGACAGGAGACGUUCAUGUGCCGCGCGUUGGUUGCCGAUUCUGCCCUUGCUCGAGCACCACGACUCCGGCUGCCUCUAUCAUCCGCGCUCCGCUUCCUCUCUCGCGGGGAUCGCGACCGCAAUCGGGAUCGACUCCUGCUGUCACCGAUCUCGAGGCGGAACGAGGAGCAGCCCAGCCUAUCGCAUCCCCGACACAAGCCUUCCUGGAACGAAAAAAGGAUGAAGUGGCCGUGAAUCAAGAUUCACAGCAGCGCGACAUGGUCGAUCAAAGAAGCCGCAUGUCAUUGGUCUGUUGACAGAGACAGUAACAGGGGGGAGUCGACGACGUGAUCGAUGGCCAUUCACAAGGUAAAACAAACACCAUUCAUCUGAAGUGCAUGAUGCCCGUCUGUUGUUUGUGGAAUUUACCGGAUCCAAAGAAUCAACAGUAGCACAUUUGUUGCUUGCUAGGACCAGUAGUUUGGCUAUUCUCGCCAAUUAGCAUGUUCCAAGGGUGACAGACUUACGGUUCGGCUCAAAGGACCACGUCGACUUCCUAAUUCUCACUCUGUAGCGAGACAGGACACCACACUAUAUGGCCGAACGAGAAAGCAUCGCCCCAUACAUCAGGCGGUACGGCGGCUGCUGUGCGAUGAACAGUGAGACGGGCGACGUCGAUUUCGACCUGCAGAAGAUGGACGUGGCUUGAUGGAAUCGUGAGAAACGUGGGUGAAGGAGCGAACGGUGAUCGUGGAGCUCCAGCGGUUGGAUGCCACUCGUUUCGGUCGGCGUUAAACGCGCGAGCCUCGUGGACGUGGCGCGCGCCACACAGUGGCACUCCGUACGGAUUAGGACACGAGUUUGGGUGAGAUCUCUCGUAUAUGAGCGCUUGCCCUUUUUCGUAAUUGCAGUAUACCUCAUUAUUUUAUCUUUGAUCGGAGCGGAGACGGGAAGAGUGAGACCAUCUCAUGUCACGUCACCGUGGCAUGACAUGUCGCAGCGCGAUCUAUAUCAGGCACGGCGACUGUUUGAUUGAUUGCCCAUGAGAGGGAGGAAUCAGAUGUGCGGGGACGUGGGACUCGGAUCAUUCCAAUUCGACACCUACUCCGUCAUGUUUCUGCUGCUCCUCUGCAGCAGGCUGUGCUACCAUUGGGCGGUCGGUGUCAGGUCAGUGGUCCCUUCAUGUAGCAUCUUUAUCGUGGAAGUUGACGUUAUCUACUCCUAGCACAGGCGCACUACGCCAACUCUCUCUUCAUGUUAAUAUAUUGUCGUAUUAUUUUGUUGUAUGGUAUGUCAGUUAAUAUCUUGUUAUGAGGAUAGACGAGGUCGAACAAGAAGCCCCUCCUUCAAGAAUGAUCAUAUCUUUGACGUCUUUGAUGACAAAGCCAAUAUAUACAUGAGUGGAGUGCAUGUCAAUCUUUAUUAUAUCCUCUGAUCUAAUACCAUGAAAGCUUCUCGGGUGGAUAUAAGGAAUAUAGAUCAUUUGUGUUAGUGAUAAUCUUUAAAAGAAAAAAAUAAAGAUGAUAUGAUUAUAAAAGUGAUAUAUUCCAGUUCAACCAGAGGUGCAAAAAACAAUUGUCAAUGAGACUCCAAAUCCAAAAACUCUUAUAUUUUCGUUCCAUUGUCCAAGAAUUAUUAAAAAAAAUAGAAAGAAAAAAGAAUUCUAUCAUAAACAGAGUCCCAAAAUAAUAAUGCAAAGCGAUAAUUAAAGAGAAAGUGAAAAGAAAAAUCAUUAUUCAGGUGGCAAACUGAAUAAAGUUCAUGCUAUCCGUGAAAGAAUGACAUACAUUAAUUGAUAUUUAGUAGACUAAUCUAACACGAUUAAGUAAUUAAAAGGUCCACAUUAACUAUCUCUCCCAACGACCACAAAUUAUCCAGGUGGAUCCAAAGAGAUGUCUCUGGCUCUUUAUUAUGCAUUGACUCCCCAACUAAGAGGCUAUGACAAAACCAUAUUUAAUCUAAUAUUAAUUAACGAGUUGGAUAGAUAAUACUUAAUAAGGGCUCAAAAUGACUCUACUCGGGUAUAAUGAUCAAUGCUUCAAGAACAUUAAUCGUCUGUAGAAAUUAUAUGUAAGAAUCACCUUCAUGCUCUCCAAGUUACGUCUGUCAUUCCUAAUUGUUCAUAAUGAUGUUGAUAAUGAUCCUUUGCAUCGUAGCUGAGGGGUCAGCACAGCUUGGUUCGGUCCCAGGUGCACGAGAUUAUCCACGUCGGUACUCAGGCGGUGGGAGUCGUCGUCCAAUAGGGUCGGGCUCGGGCUUUGGCUUCAAGAUAUGGAGACUCUCCUUUGGUUGGUCGCCUUCCUCUCUAUCGUAUGUCGCUAUACACAGGUAGGGGUCAAGAAGGAGACUCUCGACUUUGAACCCUUAGAAGAUUUUAUUAGAAUUGGAUGAAAAAUGGGCCAAGAAUUGAUCCCUUGUCGUCGACCCCGCGAUAGGUUUUUAUCCUUUAGCCCGGGGACCGACCGUACCUAUCAUAUUUAUGGUUGUCGACCCAUCGAGCAAUGGGCUUACUCCUGGAGCAAAUGCUGGGCAUCCUCAAUGCCAUGGCGUCGAAAAGCAACGUCACACUCGAUGUCGUCUCGAUCUUUACGGGACGACGCUGUACUCGAUCAGCGUCAUCCCAAUCUUUACGGGACGGUGUUGUACUUGGUUGGCAUCAUCCUGACUUUUGUGGGAUGACGCUAUACUUGGUUGGUACCGUCCCAACCUUUGUGGGGCGGCACUGUGCUCGGGCGACAUCAUUCCGCAACACCAUCCCAACCUUUAUGGGAUGAUACUGUGCUCGAGCGACGUUGUCCUGCAACACCGUCCCGAUCUUUACGGGACGACAUUGUGCUCGGACGAGAUCGUCCUGACUUUUGCGGGAUGAUACUGUACCCGAUCGGCACCGUCCUUCCUUUGCAAAACGGUGUUGACCGUGGGGCAUGGAACGUUAUAUUGAACUUGAAGUUGAUGUGUGUGGAGACGUCACUAUAGAGCUUUACUCAUCCAAAUUUUUGCCUACUUGUUCCUGCAGAUUACUAACUAUGUUGAACAUAUGUCAAGUAAGAGCUUCAAACAGUGUCAGCCGAUGCUCAUUCUAAUUUAUCCCCAUGCAUUUUACUCCCAGUCAAAUCUUGGAUUCCAAUUUGACCAAAGCAGUGCACAUAUUGGUAAUGGGCAACACGAACUAUUCCUGCAACAGAUGCUCCGCAUCUUGAAGCUCCACCUCCUCAUUCUGACCCUCUCUGCUUGCUUGAAACAGCUCCUCAAUCUGCUCCAAGGACUUCCCUUUGGUCUCCGGAACGCAGUAGAAGACGAAUGCCACGGAGAGAGCAGAUAUGGCGGAGAAGAUGAAGAAGGUUCCUGCGACCGUGAUGGCACGGGACACGGACAGGAAGGACAUGGCGACCAAGCCGCUGCUCACCCUGUUCCCCACUGCACCCAGGGCCGAGGCCUGAGCUCGCAGUCUCAGUGGGAAGAUCUCGGUACUCAGCACCCAGCAGAUGGGACCGAUCCCCACCGAGAAGAAGGCCACAUUCCCGCAGACCGCAACGAUGGCCAGCCCGAUCCCUGCUGCCGGUGAGAUCAGCCCCGUCCCAUGGUGAUUCAAGGAGAGAGCGACGCCUAACAGGAACAAGCACAGCGUCAUCCCCAUGGUGCUGGCGUACAGCAGCGGCUUCCUUCCCACUCUGUCGAUCAAGAAAAUGGCAACCAGGAUGAAGCAGGUCUUGGUGACCCCGACCGCGAUGGUUGCAGCAAGCAGCUCGCUGUCGGACUUGAUCCCGGCGUCGCGGAAUAUGGUCGGGCUGUAGUAGACGGUGGCGUCGAUGCCGGUGAUCUGUUGGAAACACUGGAUGCCGCAGCCAACGAUCAGCAUGCGGCGCAAUGAAGGCGAAGGGCUCAGGAGCUCCUUCCACACAGCUUUCUCCUCCCACUUGUUGGCGGUGGCAGCCCCAGCCGCCUUCUCUAUCUCCGCCAGUCGCCGCUCCACCUCCCCCUCGUCCUCGAUUAUCUUCGAGAGCACUGAUCUCGCCUCCUCCGCCCUCUUCUGCAUCACCAACCAUCUCGGGGAUUCUGGGAUCACGAACAGCGCGAACCCGAUGAAGACAGACGGAAGUAUGCCGACGCCGAGCAUGAUCCUCCAGUUGACGUGUUCCGAGAAGCCGGAGAAGGCGUAGUUAGAGAUGUAGCCGAGAAGAAUCCCAAGAUUUAUGAAGAUCUCCGGGAAGGAGGUGAGGGAUCCCCUGGCAGCGGCGGGAGAUAUCUCUGCGAUGUAGACGGGCGCGAUCAUGACGCCGAAGCCUAUCCCGACGCCAGCGAGGAGUCUUCCCAUCAUCAGCACUGGGAAAGAAGGAGCGAGCGCCAUUAUAGCGGCGCCAAUCUGGAAGAUGAUUGCGGCGAGAGCCAUGGUCCACUUUCUGCCCACGGCAUCCGACGUUCUGCCGCCUGCUAGGCUACCCAGCAGCGAGAUGAUGCUCAGACAUCCCACUAGAACUUCUUCUUCGACCUCCGUGAUGUGAAGAUCUUUUUGGAUGAAGAGGAUAGCUCCGCUCAUGACGCCCACAUCUGCAAGAUGCAAGCAAGAAGCGUCACCGGAAGAAAUCGAGCUAACGUUUCAGGACCCAAAUCCAAGUACUGUUACAUACUAAAGUGACAGCAAAUAUGGCAUAAUAAGAAGAAUUAUGAUCGAAUUUAGCAAUCGAAAAAGAGAUUAAAGAACAAUGAAACUGUUCUAUCCAUCAAGCAAAAUAGAUGAAGCAGGAAGAGGGAUGAAGAAGGAUAUCCAUGUCCUCGAUGCAAGCAGCAUGUGACGCUGCUUUCAUAGAUGAAAAGGACCGAGAAAGUAUGACCAAAAAGAUUGAAGUCUCCCUGUUGACCAACUAGACUCGUAAAUUUCAAGUCGAACCAACCUUGACUUCGUCUUGGCUGGAAAUGUGGCAACGAACAACGAUGUGGAUGGAGAGAAAAAGAUGCGAUCUGUUUCGGACAGCAAUAGAACCAAAUAACAAUGAUAAUGGUAAUGAAUGGAAAUGAGGAUGCCACCAUAGCCAAGAAGAACGGAAUUAAGGGAGGCGAAGAAGGCGCAGGUGCGGACGUAAGUCUUGCCAUGGCUCUCCGGACUCUUCCUCCUCCUCCCGGCGAACGCUUCGUCAUCCUCUCCCUCCUCGGCGACAUCCACGCUGUGGUACUUGGCCUUGCUAUCGACCUUGCCGUUGCCAAUAGCACGAGGACUGCUGACGCCCAUCAUAUCCACCACUCUCUGCGAGAGAUCUCACAGCCGAUGACCUCAGGAGGAGGAGGAGAGAGAGAAAGAGAUGGAGUUGCUCCAGAUCUAAUAGAGGAAGGGGGAGCUGUAAAGCUGGCUUCUCCGAUUGUAAAAGAACGACUUGCGAUUUCUUUAUCGUGGAUCGGUAUGGGAGGACGGGAAGCGUGCAAGUGGGCUCUCUUGGGAGUUGGAGAAGUCGUCCAUGGAUGGGAUCAGAACAGGACAAGAGAAGGAAGGAACGAAGAAAGAAGGACCGGGAGACCACCACCUCCGGCAACUUCGGAACGCCAGAACUCGACAUUCUCGCCCAUUCAAUCGGGCCCCACAUCUUCGCUACGGGGGACCCGCACCGGGGUGUCGCCAGCGUCCCACCUGCGCAUUAAAAGAAGGGAAUAUGAAAACACAUCGAAAUAUGUGAUUUGAUUGUUUAUAUUAAUUCUAUAAUUUACAUUAAUUCCAAUUCUAAAUAUAUAUAUUAGUUACUUGAAGUAUUAUACCAUAAUUAUCGUAGCGGAAAUGGGUCCCACCAUAAGAACCGUAAGUACAUUUUAAGAGGAGCAGGUCGUUCCUCCGGUGGGCCCGCAGGUAUCAGUUAUCAAGGUAGGACGAGAUGUGUAUAACAUAAUAAUAAUAAUAAUUAUUAUUAUUAUUAUUAUGUAUUAGAUGAGAAGCAAGGAAGCAUUGGCUAUUAGGAAUGUUUAAGUUUUUGUCAUAGAAAGAUAUCGAUCAUGAUUGGAUUAAUCUAAUAUGAUUUAGAUUUAAGUGUAUAAAAAAUCUUCUAAUUUGGCUGAAAGGGUUCGGAUGCUUGUGCUAUGAUCGAUCUAUACGAAUAUCAAGAUUGGAUAUUUUUUUAAUAUGAUUUUUUAAUAUCUUAAUCUAUUUUAAGAAUAAUAAAUAUUUUUAACAAAUGAUCACUAAUAUUGAUUAUAGUGGUCUAAUUGAUUGUUAUAAUCGAUUUAAUUAGAAGAAUUUUUGUAUUUUUUUAACAUUUAUUCGUUGUUUUUCUUAUGCUACUGAGUGGAGCCAUAAUAUAUCCAUCAUUAUCUAUCGGAUAAAUGACCCAAGAUUCAAUCGGGUUUUAAUUAUCUAUAACUCAUUUUAGCUUUUUAUAUAUUUUUUUAACUUAAACUCUAACUAAGUGUGAUAGCUAAGAAAGAAAAAAUGUGGACAACGAUAAUAAGAAAGCAUAGAAAAAUAAUAGAAGAAGGAAAAUGAAGAAGAUAUGAGGAGAUUAUUUUCAAUUAUUCAGACAGUGUUAUCAUCUCAGGUUGUUGGGCUGGCAACCCAUAGAUUCAGCCCAUAGUGGACUUGGCAGCCCACAGCCCACACUCCCUCUUAAUAUAACUCUAAUUAACAUUAGGGGGGUGUGGUGGCUACGUUUUGGAGGUAGAAAAAGGCUUAAAUAAGGCAGCAACGUGGGAGAAGUAUACACCCACGAGAUUCCAAAGAAAAUGAGGAAAACAAGGCAGAAAAGGAAGAGAAAGAAAGAGAAGAAGACAAGGACAACACAGAGAGUCUGUUCUCAAUCAUCUAGCAAUGUUCUCAUCUCAGGUUAGAUCAAAUCUACAGUAGACUCUUGCUGUGAUUACUUAGGAAGGUUUUAGAUAUUGUAGGCAGUGACGUGAUCAUUGUAUCCCAAUUGUUCUCUUGAGAUUGUUGCUAGGGUUUAGGGCAAGAGAUUGAGAUUUGUAUAUUCAUUAUUCUCAUAGUGGAUUAUCUCUAGUUUGCCCCGUGGUUUUUACCCUUCACAUCGGAGGGGUUUUCCACAUAUAUUUUGGUGUUCUGUUUGAUUGUGCUUUCAUUUAAUUCCACUGCGUAUUAUGGUCUUUUAGUAUUUGUUCAUAUAUAAAGGUUAUUCCUGUUUAUAUCCGCACGGGAGUAUCUCUUAACAUAAUUCUUAUAUUUUAAUUAUUCGUUUGUGAUUUUUAUUUGAGUUUUGGAUAAAAGAUUUUAAUAUUUUAAUAUUUAUUAUUAUUAUAAAUUAUAUAUAUAUAUAUAUAUCAUAAUUUUAGACCUAUUAUUAUUAAUGUUUAAUGUUUGCACUAACUCGUAGCAUGAUCGAUCGCAAUGUGGAAUCCUGAGAUAACAUUGCUCGGUGAUUUCAACAUUUCAGUCACCUACCUUAGAAUUGGUCCGCGAGCAAAUUGCAUCAUUUGCUGGAUCGGUCAAACAAAAGAAAAAUGAGUUCUACUUCCCACGCCGGUCAUCUAUUCAUGUGACUUACGCUUACGUUGGGUCAUCUGAAUCGGGCAAAGAGGCUAUACGGAAUGGCCCGCCGACUUAUCUUGUCUAUAAUGCCUACACCUAAUCCGAUGAUAAGCACAGCCACAGCUCAUCGGUUAAGCAUUGUCUACGUGUGGGCCACCUUUAUUUAUCGAUGGCUUUUCGUGCUACCACAUAUAGCACGCAUCCGUGUUUGACUUUUGCCCUUCGAUUUAACAUUUUUAUUUAUAUUAUUAUUCAAAUAAAAGUGAUGUAAUUCAAUAAUUAUAUUUUUUUUAUUUUUAUAAAUAUAAUAAUCUAUUAGAGAAGAUAGGAAAGAUAAAUCGAGAUUUAUUUAAUUCGCUGGAAAUUAAAGCCUGACGCUCUACAAGUACAUGGUCGAUGAUCACGACCGUCGAUCUACUUGCAGGCGCAGGAUUGACGGUGGGGAUCGCCAGCUAUGCUCUUGAACCGUGUCGAGUUUUCCAUGUUGGCGGCCUACGUUUCCGUCCGUUUCCAUACUUGGUUGGUAUUUGGGAAACGUUUUUUCUUGUAUUUGGGGGUUCCGUUUCUCCAUUGAAACUCCAACCGCGUUCGGCUACAGCUUGCCACCCCAUUUCCUAUAUAAAGUAAUCGAGUUCUCUUCCUCGGCCGAUCUCGUCCUUCUCCUCCCUCUUUCUGCGUGUGAGGAAUUGUUCUCGGAAGGCAAGGGUUAGGGGUUCGGUUUUCCCAGUGUAUGGCAGUGAGCUUGGUGUUGAAUGAGGUGUCGGACCUCUGCAUCGGGAAGCCCCCGCUGAUAUCGUUGCCGCUCUCCGCCGCUACCGUCAGCGACGCCCUCCUUGCCCUCAAAAGAGGCGGCGAGCCCCACCUCGCUGUGCUAGAUCCUGACCGGGCCCCCCCGGGGAAGAAGGCCGUCGCCGUCGCUGGAAAGAUCUGCGUCGCGGACAUCCUCUGCUUCCUCUGCUCCGACGACAACCUCGCGUCGCCCGCCGCAGCGCUCGAGCGGCCCGUCACCGCCCUCCUCCCCAAGGGCACCGGCCUCGUCCGCCUCGUCGAGCCGCAGUUUAGGUACUCUUUCAUCCUGUCUUUUUUUUGGUUAAUUUGUAAUGAAUAUGAAUGAAAAUUGUCACCUUUUAGCAAUUUGAUGCUUGAAGAUUCGAUUUUUCAUUUUGCAAUUUGAUUUGCAGCGUGUUGGAAGCCCUCGAUCUGAUCGUUGACGGAGCGCAGAACCUUGUGAUCCCCAUCCGUUCCCUUGGCCGUAAGAAGCUAGACCAGGGCGGCGAUGGCGUCGCUACCGCCGCCAAAUUCUGCUGGCUGACGCACGAGGACUUUGUCCGCUACUUCCUCAACUCUAUCGCCCUCUUCUGCCCCAUUCCUACCCUCUCCAUCGACGACCUCGGCCUCGUCCAGUCCGCCGAUGCCCUCACCAUCCGCCACGACGAGCCCGGCCUCUCCCUCCUCCCCCUCGUCCGCCGCGCCCUCACCGAACAGGCCGCCGUCGCCGUCGUCACCGACGAUGGCCAACUGCUGGGCGACAUCUCCCCUUGCGCUCUUUCUGCCGGCUACAACACGGUGGCUGUGGCCGCCGGCAUCGCCACCCUGAAAGCAGGCGACCUCAUGACCUUCAUCGACCACUAUGGCUCGCCACCGGAGUCCCUUGUCCGCGCAAUAAAAGCCGGACUGAAAGAGAAGGGCUUGCAGGAGAUGCUCCACCUUAUGGAAGAUGAGCUAUCCUCGUUCUCCAACUCGUCCUCGGCCUCGUCCUCCGAUGAUGAUUCCAGCGAGGAGGAAAAGCGGCUGCGGAGGCCGUCGAAGAGCUUCUCCAGUACUGGGAGGCGAUCGUCGGAGCCGGAAGUAUGCCACCCCGGGAGCUCGCUGGUGGCCGUGAUGGUGCAGGCGCUGGUGCACCGGGUGAGCUACCUGUGGGUCGUCGACGAGGAAGACUACGGCCUUAUCGGGAUCGUGACGUUCGCUGACAUGCUAUGCGUCUUCCGGGAGCAGCUUCAGCCAUCUCUCUGAGAUCUCAAAGCAGACAUGCAGCUGUUAUGGAUGCAUUAACUCGCUGUUGUCCGCACUGAGCGUGAUUAAACUAUAAGACUCUGUAAUAUUGUAUCGCACAAUACAUCGAUUGCUCGUACUCGGUUGUUAUCAGAAAACCUAGCUUAGACAGCAGAGGAAGAGCCUGCCUUGUUGUUUCUUGGAUACAGUUCUCUCCUUCAGAUCUGGGCACAUCUCGAGCACUACUAAUUCCUUGGGAAUGCUGCUGAUCCUUGGAUCAGUCGCUGGUCUCACAUCCCUUGUGCUGCAAGAAAAGCAAGUCUGACGUGAUAAAAAUGAACUCAGACAAUGUGCCAACUAUGAUCAUUGAAUUCCUCCAUUAACUACUUCCAACUUGUCUGCAAGAGGUGCUGAACUUUUUUGACCAACUAACCGGCGGCCAUGUUCUUUCCUUGGAGGAAGAAGAACUUUUCUUCACCAAACAUCCUUUUCAGCACCUACAGAACUCAGCCAAGUCCAGAUACUUCAUCCCGGAUUGCAACAAGUAAAUCUAAACUUCGUGGGAUGAUAAAGCUGCAUUUUGUAUGGAGUAACUAAAGAACUUUCGUUUGUAUUUCUAAUUUGCAGAGUCUCACUGUCAUCUAUCUGUUCCUCACAUUGACAUGGUCCAAAGUGAGGUAAAGAAGUCUUGAUCCCGUUCAAAUCGACCUCUCCCCUUCUGUAAAACGAAACUAUAGCGAUGCUUGACAGGCCACUUUGAGUUGGCUGGUUGGUAUUUGGAGAGAGCUUUGGAUUGGGUUGACUCUGACACCGACGUCGAAAAGGAGACAUUACUCUUCCAGUUGUCUACGUGAAUUAGACAUCUCUCUCUCUCUCUCUCUCUCUUUCCCGUCCAUCUUUUUCUUCCUCCAUCGGUGGGUGUUUGGAUCUAUGGGGGCACUAGGACACAAGCAUGCAGAGGAUUGUUGCGAGAAUGGGGAAUCUUAGAAUCAGAGGAUAAGAAAAGAAAGAAAGCAGACUUUGUCCAAGGACAUGGAUAUAUCUCUGACCUUAGAAGACUAUCCAUGAAGAAAACAUGGGGUGUCAAACUCCAUUCAAGAUUGUCUGCUGCUACAUUGUCCAUCUCUGUCACAUCAAAGGGGAAUCUUGAGAAACAAGAAAAAGAAGAAAAGGAAGCACAUCAAAGACUGUUAGAUUAAUAGAAUGUUUAUCUAUUUUGGAGAAACUCAUGCAAUUCUUGAGUUUGCUUGUAAUUUACAUGAGUCUUUUCUGAGAUGUAAAUUACCAAGUAUAACUCAUGUAUUAGAGAAAAAGGUGCAAGUGAGGUUGAAAAAGAAUGAUGAAAGGCUUUCACAGGACAAGAAUUGCCACUUUCAGAGAACACACAGCAUGUUUCUGUAGUUCCUUGGCAUUCUCUAAUCUGUUGCAUGGCAAGAACGUAGUGCUGCACUACAGGAUCGGUAGGGAAGAAACAAUAAUUUUGUUGAAAUGUGAAUAGCAACAAUUAGCAGAUACAUUACUAUAAUUUACAAUAAUUAAUGAUACUUUUUUUAAUUUCAUAGAUUAUAAGUAAUCGAAAUGUAAGUUUCAUGUCCUCGUCAAGACUAGUAUAAUUCAGAUUAAAUUCUAACGUGGUGCUAGCCUAAUAAUAAUUACAUAUCAAAUAGAUUAAUUGAUCUAUAAAUUUUAUUUUUAUCUAAAUCUAAUCAAAAUAUUUAAGCUAAAAUUGAUAACUCAAUCUUAAUCUUAUCAACUUCAACUAAUCAGGAUGUUAUAUAUUUUUCGAAUUAAGUAUCUAAGUAAGGAUAAUACCUUCAUUAAUUUGUACACUAAUCACCUCCCUACCUCCCUACCUCCCUAAUCUCCAUCUUCAAUUUAUCAUUUUUAUCUUUUUUUUAAUAUAUAAAACUCUAAUAUAAUUUCAUAUCAAAAGUGAUAAAAUAGAUUUAUAAUGAUUAGAUGAGUCUAUUACAUUAAUUGAGAUGAAUGAAUUUAUAAAAGAUAGAUAAGCCUAUUAUUAAGCUUUAAUAUCUUUAAUUAAUAGUUGGGUCUGUAAAGUUCUGAUGUGAAUCUCAUCUUUGUCACUUAUUCUUUACGAAAAAAUAACUUAUAUAAUUUUUUUAUAAAAAAAUAUGUUAUCAUUUGAAUAGAAAUAAAUUUAUGAGAUCGAUUAUAUAAGAUUAUAGAAAACAUGAAGUUUUAUCCGAACCUCUAAGCGUUGCAGUUUAUAACAAAUGUAUACAUUUUUUCUUAUUUUUUUUCAUCAGUAUUAAAGAUGAAAAAUAUUUUACACUUGAAAUAAUGAAAUUUUCCUCAAUACUCAUGAAAGAGAUUAGUUUUGUUAUUUCAGACAUAAAUGAGUAACAACAAAAAUAAAAUAAAAAUUAAUUUGAACUCAGCAAGGCAAUUUGAUAUCAGUAAAAUGCAAGUGGACAAUCUACAAAAUUUUCAAGGAAAAUAAAUAUAUUUUUUAAUUUCUAAGUGUAUUCUUAAUAAUAGAUUCCAAAUGCUCAAAGGCAGAAUCUUUCUACAAAAUAUAAAGCUUUCAUAUUUUCAUGCACUCCAAACACAAUUACAAGAGAAAAAAAAUUCAGGAAGUUUUGUUUAUUCGAUAAAGUUAGUCUCUCAUUAAUCUCUAUUUAAUCGCGGAUAAUGUGUUACAAGAUCAAAUUGGGACCACCACGGGGCAUCCUACCUGCCUUAUCAUUGGAGAUCAGAUGGGGCCCGCUGUGUGUUCCAUCUUCCCAGCCAAUCACGAUGGAGGGAGACAACACUUUUCGUUUCUUACGUGCUUUGCCCUUCGUAGACUCGCGGGCCCCCAACCCCAUCUUUUCAGCCCCAAUCUCGAUGCGCUCGAGGGCCUACAUCUCCGUCCACGUGUAUAUACCCUUCGCCUAACGCCUCUCUUCCAAGCAACCAACCAGCCGAUUAAAGCGAGCGAAAGCAGCAGCGUGAUCAGACGGGACUCCUUCGUGUCGUCUUCUUUACCAAAGUAGAGAGAGAGAGAGAGAGAGAGAGAGAGAGGUUUAAGACUUGGGAAUUUGGGGGGGGCGGAGGGACUUUUAGGGUUUUUAUUUCUUUGGAUGAUUGGAGGAGUUGAUGUUGUCGGGCAAUUCAAUGCGGAAAUCGUUCAAGGACUCGUUGAAGGUCCUUGAGGCUGACAUCCAGCACGCCAAUUCUUUGUACGUAGUGCUGCUGUUUCCGCAGUUCUUCUUUGCUUCUUUUUUUGGGUUUGAUUUCUUGUGUUUUGGGUCAAUCGGGUUUCUUGAUAAGUUCGUUGGUUGUUUACUUUUUUUGGGGUUUUUGUUCCUGAUUGCUUUGACGUUGCGCAUAUCGUUUUCUGCUGAUUACUGUGUCUUUCUGCUCCUGAUGAUGAGGACAAAAAAAGCAUAAUUUUGUUGAGUUUUAGCGAUCUAUAGUAAUCGAUAGUUCAAGUAUUGUAGGGUUUUGGCAUUACUCUGGUAAUUGGUCUCCUGACACCGAAAAUUAAAUCUUUUUUAGGUGAUUUUUGGAAGGGUACAUUUUGUAUCCUUAAUUUAUGACAUAUUUGGCUAUUUUGGGUGGAAAUUGGUCAUAGAUGGUAUGUGCAUGUGUCUCGGUGGGGUUUUCUUUCGGUAUAUUGUUAUUUUAAGAAAGAGGUGAGGCUUCCAUCAUCUUCUCAACCUCCACUAAGUUUAAUUGGGAAAGGAAAAUCGGUUUAUCUAUUUUGUUUCGUCUACAUGUCCUUUAAAAUGCUAGUACUGUUUUAGAUGCUUUCUUGCAAUCGUGAUAAUUUUUGCCUUUAAUUUUGUCAAUGCUUCCUCUGUAAGAAGUGGAAUAACUUUAUUUCUUGUUAAGUAAAAUGUAGCUUUAGGAGUAAAAUAAAUGUUUUUUUUUGUUUAAAAUAUUCUUUUACCUAAUCCUUCCUCAUGACUUGCAGGGCAUCAGAUUUUCCCACUGAUUAUGAUGGUGCAUGCCUUCAAAUGCGAGUGUCAUACUGUCCAGCUGCACACUUAUUUCUUUUUCUUGUGCAGUGGACAGAUUGUAGCCUUGCUGGGGCACUUGGACUCCUUAGAAUUAUGAUAUAUAAGGUCUUUAUAUGUCGUCCAUUGCUAUACCAUUAAUUAAAAUACUCUUACUUGCCUCCUGUUGGUUUGUUUACAGUUUGAUCUCUUUUAUUCAUUGAGGAAUAAUAAGAUGUGCAGGUUCAUGCUGAUGGAUCAACAACCAUGUCAACACAUGAAAGAAAAGCUAGCAUUAAAGAAUUCUAUGGUUGGUUUUUGCAAUGGAGUUUGACAAGCAUUCUUCUGUCUUUACCGAUUGCUAAUUUCUUGCUUCUUUGUUUCCUUUGAUAGCUGUAAUUUUCCCCUCAUUGCUUCAACUAAAAAAAGGAAUCACCGAUAUGGAAAACAAAAGGCAAAAGGCAGUAUGCAUGGAAAGAUAUAGACGAAGAGAUGAGGAUGAGAGGAAGCAGUUCUCUGAGACAGAUGAUGAAAGAGAAGAAGAAUGUGGUAUUUGCAUGGAGAUGAACAGCAAAAUCGUAUUGCCUAAAUGCAACCAUGCUAUGUGCAUGAAAUGCUACAGAGAAUGGUAAAAAUAUUUUCCUUUAGGGUUAAAAAGCUGUUGUUUUUUAUGACUCUAUUGAUAAAUGCUUUUUCCCUGACUCGUGAUGAUUUGGCUUGAGCAUACAAAUCCAUUCAGCUCUGCAAGAUAUGAAGCCUUUGAAAUUAACUAUUAGGUUUUUAGAAUUAUGUAAAAUUAUCCUGGGGGUACAACAAGAAAAGAAGAAAAUUUGUUUGGUGUUAGUUGAUGUGAGAUAAUAAUAGCAUUCAUGUAGGAUUUUAAUUUCUGAUUGUUUGGCAAUAAAAAAUGGAAAUAUAAGAAAUGGUGAGGUAGUAAAUGUUUCUUUUAAAAGGGGUAGUGGUUUUUGAAAUCAAAAGAGUGUGCAGCAGAGUGACUUGUCAAUAUACUAGUGUAAUAUGAGACUCCAUAUUUUUCUAAAGCUAAAUGAGAAAAUAAGUCCUAAUUUACUUUUUAAAUAGUUCUUUUUUACUUCUAGGUUACUGAUUUAUUGUUCGUACUUUAAAAAUAUCAUGCAUAUGUGCUUCUGAUACUGUUGAUGUGUUGUAAGGAAAACUUAAGAUGGCAUAUUGAAUUAUUUGUUCUAGAUUGGAGUGGUAGUUUGUUGCUGAUGAGAUUUUCAUAGUGUUAGUAUCAAAUUGGAUAGAAAUCACAGUUUGUUGUAAAAAAGAAAAUGCAUGGUAUGCUAGGAGAUUGAAGCCACGAGCUAUACUUGCAGUGCACGGAGAUUGUAGGCAAAUAAAUGGUUGCAAUGCUGCCAAGAUUUAAGUUGUUAACAUGGUUUUCUAGGAAAAUGAGGAAUUGAAUCUUUUUUGCUUUCUUACACCUAGUAACCUAUUUUCAUAAGACCUCUUAGUACUUUGUUGCCCUGAGUACUUGCCGGAGUUAGAACUUUACAUUUGAUAGGAUGUGUUAUGCCAAUAUAUUAUAUUAGCUUAAAGAAAAGGGUACACAUACAUAACUUUCAUAAAUGGAAUUUGUUACCUCAAAUAUUUUAUUAAGAGCUUUAAUUUGUGUCAUUGGUGCAUAAGUGCCUGGAAGACUUUUACAACUCUAAUUUUAAGACACCUAGAGGAAUUGAUAUGAUAAUCUGUUUCAAGAAAUAAGCUAUUGGUGAUUCUAUCCUCAUGGUCUCCAUGCAGGUUGUAAGCUCGCAUAAACUGGUGCCUGUUAAAUCCAAUUAUCCUCUCUUUACAUCAGAAAUGGGUAAUAGAUGCUUGAAAUUCUUAUUAGAAGUGGAAAAUUAUCAUUCAUAUUUUUUGUCACCGAGGAUAUAGAGUCUAGAUGAAAUUCCCACUUCAAUGCAUCACUAAAUAUGUGGUGAUUGCAUGCACUUAGUUUCUAAAUUGAAACUUAAUUCAUGGAUGCCUGAGCCCAUAUGUAAAAAAACUAAUGCAAUUGUUGUUUAUUGAGAAAGUAGUCUGGAUGAAUUCAUCCGAAUGUAUCAUAGGUUACUAGGUAAUUGGUUUACACAUGUGAACAGAUGAGUAUUUGGAGAAUUCUAUAUUCUUUUGUUUGUUGUAGUGAGUGAUACAGAUGUUGGAGUUAUGCCAGUUUUAUUAUGGCACUCAAGACAGUGCUUGUGGACCAAGAUGUUUCUGGGUUAAUUCAGUACUUCUAUCUGAAUUCUGGAAUUCACUUGGCUAGUGAUGGUUAAGAUAGAUCGGAUAAGUUCCUAUUUUUACUCAUUCUACUUUGGAUCAAGGAUGAUCGUUUUGGGUACUGGACAUGUUUUGGUGAUCUGGUCAGACCAGUAUACUGGUCAGUACCGGUGUACCAUGUGUCGGUACACUAGUAUGUAUCGGUGUUUCGGAGAGAAAGAAAAAGGAGGAGAAAAGGAAGGGAUGGUGGAGGAAGAGGAGGGAAGGAGGAAGGAAGCAGAGGAAGAACGUAGGAGGGAGGAAGAGGAAGAAGCGCAGAAGGAGAGGAGGAAGAGGAGACGAGGAAUACCUACGUGCACGAUGGAGGUGUUUGACAAGCUUAUGGCGGAGGUGUGGUACUGUGCACGGUGGAGGUGACGAAGGUGUGCAGCGUUGUGCACGGCGGGGGCAGUGGAGGUGUGUGUUGUAGUGUGCAGCAUGGGUGAGAAGAUUAGGGGUAGUUUUUCCCAGGGUUCGUCGUACCGUACCGUACCAACGUUUCGAUCCGGGCUCGGUAUGGUACGGUAUCGGUGUACCGAGCGGUACAUCAGGACGUACCGAGUGGUACACCCUGGUGUACCGAACAAUUAUAUAUUUUUCAUAUUGUAGUAGUGCUACAAUAUAAUACUGUAGUACUAUAGCGGUACCGGGCGGUAUGCUCCGGUAUGACAGACCUUGGUUUUUUCCUUCUAUACGGGCAGACUGGACUGAGAGCGGUCCACGUCAUGCUUCACACCCAAACUGGUGUGUACCACCCGAUUCGUACCGGUUCAGGCGAAACGUCAAUCCUUGCUUUAGAUUGUUAUCAUUAUCUUUCAAACCAUUAUGAACAUAUUGGAAUUAUGAACAUGUUGAAUACAACUGCAGAAUAGAAUCCAGUUUAGAAAUGCAUUGGAGGACCUAGAAGAUCAACACAUUCUAAUUGUUAUAUUGACAUUGAAUUCAACUGCAGAGUAAAUUCCAGUUUAGAAUUGCCAUUGGAGGACCUAAUAGAUCAACACCUUCUGAUUGUUAUGUUAACAUUUGACUAAUUCUCUAGUUCUUGAAAAUAGAGCACCAUAUUUUAAGAUCAUUAUUUGAUCUUCCCGUUGGUUCCUUGAGCUUUGCAGUUUCAGGCUCUCAGAAUCUUGUAUCUACUUCUUAUGUGCAUUGGCACAUUGAGCAACUCUGUACAAAAGUUGCCAUUGCAUUUUCAAAAUAGAUAUUACUUAUAUUGUAUUAUUUAUGAUAGAGAACAAAAUGGACCAUCCAGAAACCAACACAUGGACACCUCCACCUCAGCAACGAAGGCCGCCGCCAUGGCAGGACGGUUAUGACAUCUAACCACAGAGGGGGUAGUUGAGCCCUGUUGACCAUCGGUUAUGCCACGUUGGCAGGUGAUUGAGCCACGUUAGUGGAAGUUACGCUACACCUUGGCGAGUGGUUGAGCGAUGUCAGUGGAAGUUAUGCCACUUUGACAAGUGGUUGAGGCACGUCAGUGGAAGUUACACCACCUUAGUAGGUGGUCGAGUCACGUCAGCAGGGAUACUCCAAAUCUGCCAUCUCAGCGGGCAGUUGCGCCAUCCCCGCAAGUGCCUUUAAUUGCUUAAACUGCCUCUCUCAUUCCUUGCUCUGUCAUUCCACACCCUUACUUUCUCUGUACCUCGGGCAUUGCUAACUUAGGCAUCGGAGGGAUCAAGUCGGGCUAUCCCCAACCUCAGUCUUCUUAUGUAGGUUCUCGGGCCACAUGUCGAGAUUGGACAAUUUCUGGAAUCCAAUGGCAGAUUCCUCUCCAACCAUCAUUGGCUUGUCGGGACAAUGCAUGUUUCCCAUCAUUGGGCCCAAAUGGGGUUGGGGUCAUUCUUUCCUAUGUUCGUUGAACGACCAACCUAGGAGUUGACAAUCUAUACAUUCUUUUGUUGUUUGAUUAGAAUAAUGCAAUUACUUGGAAGAAUCCAGAAAAAUUGCCAUAUUGUCAAGGAUUAUAUAUUGGUGCAUUUUUGUUUUCCAUCAUGUUUUGUGUUCUGUCCCUUGAGUCAACAGUGAAGACCAAUUGGUUCCUUGAGUUAAUAUUGUUCGUCAAAUUGUCAGUCUUCAUUGGUAUUAAGAACCAGCGUGACUAAUUUCAUCUCAUCGAGUUACUGUAAUGUGUAGUUUGUUUAGUCUUUUAUCUGUUUUUUUCUUCUGACAUUAUUGCUACUUACAUUUUCUUUAGGUGUAGCAUAUCCUAAACCCUUUUUCUUCUCGUUAUUUGCCUCUGUACAUUGGAUGUAAUUCUGCAAGGAAUCUUUUCAUCCUUUGGUCCUGUCCCAAUAAUAUUAGUUUUCUGAGUUGUGUUUUGAUGCAUUAUUUGAGCCGAUUACCACUGUAUGUUUAUCAAACAUGGUUGCAAAGAGUUCCCUAUUCUUGUGGGACUAUGGUUUUCAAAUUUACUUUGCCGGCUUUGGUAUUCAUUUAUAAGUGAAUGAAUUAUUUACCGUAAUGGAUUGUAGUAUUCGUUUAUAAGUGCAUAUUCUGAUCUCCCAUUUGUUUUUUUUUCUUCUGAGCUUGAAAAAUAAAUCUUAAGGAGGUUCUGUUUUUUUCUUGGUUCUUUUUUCGAACAUAUAUGAAGACUGAGCAACGAUAUCAUUGCAGGAACUCGAGAUCACGAUCAUGCCCCUUCUGCCGCAAUAGCCUUACGAGAGUAAACUCUGGCGAUCUGUGGAUGUUCAUCGAUAACAGAGAUGUGGUUGACAUGGCAAUGGUGACCCGUGAAAAUAUCAGGCGUUUAAUCAUGUACAUAAAGAAGUUGCCGGAGAUUGUUUCAGAAACAGUUUCUGAUCCUUACGAUUCACAUCUUAGAUGACCUACGAUUCUCCCAUGCCGCCAGGUUAAACUUCCCCCAAUUCCUUAACCUUAGUAGUAUCUGCCUGCUCAAUUAGCUCGAUUUAUUUAAGCUUUAGAGGUCAUUCCAAUUCAUAUUCCGAAGCUACAUCGUAGGUAUAUACUUGAGCGUCUUCGUCACUAUGUAAAUGCUUGUACAGUCUCUUAUUUAUUAACAUGAUAAUUGCAAUUUGGUGCAACUCCCCCGUGGAGCCAAUUAGACAGCAGGCAUAUGGAUGUUGAUUUGGGUUGGGUUGGUUGGCAACAUCAAUGCUUCGACGUGGAGCAGUCGUUUCACGUUCAUCCUUGGAAUUAAGACACUUGAAAUGCUUCGUCUGCUGCCAUUGGAUCUCUUGAAUUAGUAAACAGCAGCAAUCGAGCACAUAGAUUGGGAUCUAAUUGUUCGAGUACCGCAGCACGUGGAUGCGCUGGUCACCGCCUUCGAUGGUAUAUAUUUUAUAUAUUUGAAUGGUUAUAUUUUACCACGUAAUCCCCAAGUAUAAAGUGCACCUCCUUUUUGUAUUCACUCCCUAAAUUAAACCUUUCAAAAAUAUUAUAUAUCUCUCUUAUAUUAAUAAUAAAUACAUGUGUAUAUAUCUUUAAACUUAAGACGUCAUAACCACGAUUAGUAAUAUAUGAUAUCGAGAUAUUUAGAGUCAACAUACCAUAUUUUUCAGGACUAAUUAUAGAUUAUCUCACGUAGUUAGUUACCUUUAAUAUCUCGGUACUUAUACUUUAAAAAGUUACAUUGACAUAUUUAUAGUUACAAAAAUAAAACAUCUAUGUUUACCAUAAUAAUGUUAGUUUUAUCGAUGAAAACAUGAAAAUAAAGAGUAAAAAGAUAAAUUUAACAUUUGAUUAUGGAUGACGAUAUUGUUGGUGUCGACAUCAAUGCAGUUGCCUGGUCAUUUCUGACAAUAAUAAGGUCUGCUCUAAUAGUGAUGCCACUCGCCUCCAUGAGGAGCACGUUGUCGACCCGCAUUGCUUUGCCUCUGCGUCGAUGUCAAUACAGAUGGCGGUGGCUAUAGUAACAUCUACGGCACAGUGUGGUGGUCACAUCACCACUAACUCAUUGGGUGGAUCCUAGCCUUGACUGAAAAAUGAGGUCGUCGGAGCUUCUAUCGCUCCCUCGUGUUGCCAUGUCAAUUCCAACACCACAUCUAGCCGAGCAACCCUUUCGUUGCUCAACAACUAUAUCAAAGCUGACGUAGAUGUAAAGCAGCGAAAGGGCUGUUCAAUGAGAGGUGGUGUCGGAAUUGACUUGACAAUAGGGGGAGUGGCAAGAGCUUCGACGACCCCAGCUUCGGGUUGAAGCUAGGAUUCGCCCAACGGGGGCUAGCGACGAAGCAGUCACCAUCUUUGUCAUAGACACUGUUGCAGCCACUACCAUCAACAUCAAUGCCGAUGUAGUAUCGACGCAAACGCAAAGCGACUCACGACGGGCAACGAUGCAGUCGGCGAUAUGCUUCUCGUGGAGGCGAGUAGCAUAGCAAUGAGAGCGGAUCUUAUCAUCGUCAAAGGCGACCAGGUGACUGUAUCAACGUCGAUGCCAACGACAUCAUCGUAUACUAUCGAAUAUUAAAAUUAUUUUUUUUUAUUUUUUAUUUUCAUAUUUUUAUUAGUAAAACCGACAUCUGUUAAAUGAAUCUGAAUAUUUUAUUUUUAUAAUUAUAGGAAUUGAGACGUUAAAGAUGGUCACCAAUGGGUUUCGCUCCAUUCAAAUCCGUCUCUGUUGGUCAAUCUUGGGAAGGCUGAAAUCUGUCCCUCUUUUUUCUCCUCCACUGGCUCAGUUCUAUUUAUAGUUUUUUUUAUUUGUUUCCAUAUAUAAAUAUGUAAGAGAAAGAAAGGUAGAUCUCCCCAUACUCAAUAGGCUGGCUUUUUGACUCUGCCAUUGACAGAUAAGAAGACGCAGAGGGUGAAGGCAGUAUCAAGGCCUUAUCCUCCUCUCCCAAACCAGUAGAGAGAGAGAGAGAGAGAGAGAGAGAAGAAUGGGUUGGGGAGGAGGCGCGGAGGACAGCGGGGAAGGGGUAAUGGCGACGGAUUUCUUCUGGUCGUACACGGACGAGCCGCACGCCUCGCGCCGGAAGGAGAUCCUCGCACGGUACCCUCAGAUCAGGGAGCUCUUCGGCCCCGACCCGUGGGCGUUCCUCAAGGUGAGUAGACGGUCGCCUCGCAUUCCUCCUCUCUCGUGGCAUGCAUUUGUUGCGUCUUGCUUGAUCUUGCCUUUUUGUCCACAAAGAUCGGAUUUUGAAUCCCUUCGUUUUCUCGUUGCGUUCUUCCGCAUUUUUUGGGAUCGGAUUCUCUGUCGACUAUGUGGCGUUUGUCGCUUGCCCUCGCAUUUCUGCUCCAAAUGUUUUCUUUUGUUAAUACCAUCUGAUGCAAUAUUUUGCAGAUAACUGCAGCUGUUGUGCUUCAGCUAUGGACUGCAACCUAUCUUCAUGACGCGAGCUGGCUGAGGAUCCUAACAGUCGCAUACUUCUUUGGCUCCUUCCUCAACCACAACCUCUUUCUCGCCAUCCACGAGCUCAGCCACAACCUCGCCUUCUCAUCCCCGUCCUACAACCGAUGGUUGGGGAUCUUCGCCAACCUCCCAAUCGGUGUCCCCAUGUCGAUCACAUUCCAAAAGUACCACCUGGAGCACCACCGGUACCAAGGCGUCGACGGCAUCGACAUGGACAUUCCUAGCCAUGUCGAGGCUCUGGCCGUCACCAACGCCGUAACCAAGUCCAUUUGGGUCCUCUUCCAGCUGUUCUUCUACGCCCUGCGACCCGUCUUUCUCAAGCCCAAACCCCCUGGCUUAUGGGAAUUCACCAAUCUGAUGAUCCAGCUCGCGCUUGAUGUCUCUCUGGUGCAUUUCUGGGGGUGGAAAUCGUUCGCCUAUCUGAUACUCGCAACAUUUGUUGGAGGGGGUAUGCACCCAAUGGCAGGCCAUUUCAUCUCUGAGCACUAUGUGUUUAGGCCAGAGCAGGAGACUUACUCCUACUACGGUCCCUUAAAUAUGAUGACAUGGAGCGUGGGAUAUCACAAUGAGCACCAUGAUUUCCCGAGAAUCCCCGGUAGCAGGCUCUACAAGGUGAAAGCGAUUGCGCCGGAGUACUACGAGAGCUUGAAGUCAUACAGGUCUUGGAGUCAGGUGAUCUAUAUGUACAUGAUGGACUGCACGGUUGGACCCUUCAGCCGGAUGAAGAGAAGGGCAUCAAAGGAUGCUGCAACCACCAAGAAAGAAGAGUAGGGAUGCUUUCCACGACAACCACUGUUGCUUGAUUCAUUGCUUCUCUGUGGUGUUCCCUACCACCUGCUGUCUCUCCGAGUUUUUGGAUGCACGAUUGGGUCCUUCAGAUGGAAGGAACAUGUUUUACUCCAUUUAUCCGACCUGUUAUGAAUAGAUCAACGGGAUGGAACUUUUCCACCUCUUAGCUGUUUCAUCAUUGUAGCAAGCAUGUCGCCAUGCAUUCCUGUGGUGGAUAACUGUUUACAACAUUUUGCUGGACCGACUUCAUCUUUCUCCACAUGAUGACUUGCUGCUAGAGUAAGGAUAUGCUCCGACACUACUUGAGCUUUGCUAUUUCCUAAGGCUAACUACAUAUUUUACCCAUGUAAUUAGAACUUUUUUUUAUCUCUAUAUUUAAAAAUUAAUCUUAAAAUUUUUAUAAUCAUGAAAGUGAAAUAUUUAACUCAUUUUAUUCUGACGUCAUCGAUUUUACCGAAGAAAUACAGCACGUGCAAAAAUGACAUAAAACGAUGGCAAAAAAAUAAUUUAAACGUUCUAGUUACGUUUUUUUUGUGGUGACGAACGAUAAUGCCGCUGAAGGCCAUGGGUGGUUGUGGUCAAUGAUAACAUUAGUGACUUAUGCGGCUUCUUAUGGGAGGAGGAGGGGGAGGACGAGAAGGGAAAGCAAUGACGAAAGGUGAGGCAAAAUGAAAGGAGGAAGAGGAUGUUGCAUAUGCCGACGCCCUGCAUCUACGUCGACGCAGAUACAAGGUGUAAAGCGACGUUCGACAUUUGCAUCAACGUCGCUUUGCAUCUUUGCUAAUGCCGAUAACGUUAUGCAUCGCUCGUUCCUUCUUCUCCCCCUUGUGCAUGUCGAGCAACAAAAAGGGGAAGAAGGAUAAGCACCGCCUUUCCUACAUCGUUGUCGAUGUUGACAUUUGCAUAAUCCUCUUUCUCGUUUCCCUUUGCCUCACUUCUCGCUAUCGCUCUCCCUCCUCAUCCUCCUCUUCUCAUAAGAAAUCACAGAAGUUCCCAACGUUCUCGUCGACCAUAGCCACCUGCGACACCGUUGUCCACCACUAUCGAAAACGUAAUUGUGAUAUUAAAAUUACCUUUUUGUCUAUCAUUUUCGUGUCAUUUCUUUUUCAUUGAUAAAAUCACCUACAUCAUCGUUGUCCACCACUAUCGAAAAUAUAAUUGGGAUAUUAAAAUUACGUUUUUAUCUAUCAUUUUCGUGUCAUUUCUUUUUCGUUGAUAAAAACGACAACUUUAUAACUAUAGAUAUUCUAAUUUAAUUUUUUUUAACUUUAAGGAUCAAGAAACUAAAUAAAUCUAACGACAGAUAAUAAUCUAUAAUUAACCCCAUAAUCUAUAAUUAACCCCUAUUUUCUAUGACCAAUUCUCAUUAUAUGAAAUGGACCACUAAACUUGUUCAGAAAUACUUCUCCUUCCACUAAGACCUUCCACUGAGAAAGGGAUGGAAUAAUGAGAGGAGUAUUGUCAAACCAAACCGAGGAUCCUCCAUUAUAACCCAAGUAUGUGGCUCAUUUCUUGAGAGAAAUAUUGUCAAACCAAAGGUCGUCUUCUCAUAUAACCCACAUAUGUGGCCAUUCCGCGACAAAGAGGAAAAAAAACACCCUUACAUGUUAGAGACCAUCAGAUUGAAGUCAAACCAAAUUGGUAUCAACAAGCCGUAACACCAAGAAGUUAAUUAAUAAACCAAAACGUUACCGUGAAAAAUUCAAGUGAUCUUUGAAACUUAAUAUAUAAUUUGCAAGCAAUUAAGAUAACAUGAAAUCUCAUACAAACGUGAUAGGACAAGCACCUUGCCCAUAUUUUUGCACAGGACAAGCAAACUCAAAAUACAUCAAAACCGUCUAUUGAUCACUCAGAUAAAAUUUUAAAGAUAUCCUACCAAAGAACAGAUGAGUAUUCAGAGCAGCUUGCAUCCAAGCAGAUUAGAUUUUCUACAUAGCAACAUCAGGAUCCAAUCUUUUCUGGAUAGCAGCUGCAGCCUACAGAAAUAGGAACAAUACUAGUUGUACUUUUACCAAGAUGUUCAAAUGUUUAAGGGUUGCAUUCUAAAGUAAAAAAAGAAUCACCUCAAAGUUUCCCAACUUAUACUGAUACAUCAUUUCUUCCCUUAAACGAGACUGCUCCUUCAUUGCUUGAGCCUAAAUAAUCAAAUAGACAGAUUACCAGAAGUUUCACAAUAUUGCUGGAGAAGGCACCUUCUUCCAUUUUAAAGACAAUAGUUUACAGGCUGAUAUAAAGAACUAAAUGCACUAACAUUUUGAUUUGCUGCAGGAGUGCUACACUUAUUUUUGCUUAGAUAGUAUCACUUAAAUAUAAAAAAAGAGAUUGUUUAAUGACCUGUGUAGAACAAAAAAUUUGAAGAGAAAAAAAAAAAAAAUAGCUUGUUUCAUUUACCCGUAUAGCACUAGAAAUUUGACGAUAGUUAUUGCCAGGUAUAGGUCAAUGGAUUUAUUGGCACGGAACAAGAUGAAAGUUUAGUAUUAGUAUCAGGUAACAACUUUUAUUAGGUAUUCACCAAGAACUAGAUAGACACUUAAUUUGUGGUCCCACGUGUCAAAUGAUGACCAACAUUACAAGAUAUUCCGCUUUAUGUCUAUAUAGCAGAAUAAAUCUGAACAUAUGUCAAGCAAGAGAGAUCACUCGCAGAGCCUAAAUACAAAAAGUAUCCUGUCACAGGAGGUAAGGUCUUUUCUUCAUGAAGAUUUCAGAUUAUAUCGAGCCAUCCAUCAUCAAUAAAAAAUCUAGUUGAUCAGUUGGCUUUGAUGUAAAUAUUGGGGGAAAUAAAGAUGUGGACCUUGUCCGAUCCAAUCUUCAUGAGCACAUGAUUAAUUGUAAUUCAGGCAAUAAUAUUAAUCAAAACCAUUCUUUAGCAUGCCAAACUGAAAAGAAUUUAAAUACUCGUGUGAUGGCUUGCGCUGGUAUAGCAACAAGAUCACACUUAGAUAUUAAAGGACCAAAAUACCAAUAAAAAAUUGUAAAAUAUUCUCACCAUGCCACUUUGCAUUGAGCGCUUCAAAGCCUCUACUUGUUCUUCUUUUUGUCUUUCACGCUCCCUCAGCAAUUCAAUUCUGCAUCAGCAACAAUAUUCUGGUUCAGUACAAGUUCAACUAUCAAGCCUUUUUAACACAGUUAUAAGACCAUUACACAUGAGAAUCCUUUAAAUGGAUCAAAUGAACUUGGAAAUCAUUAGGGUGAACAUCAGGAGACCUGUGCUGUUAAGUGAGGACAUUAAAAUACUUGAAAAAGAUACAGACCACUAAAGUGAUGUGUUCUCUGUCAUUUAUAGAUAUUGCUUGGAAUCCUAAUACAUCAUGUAGGAAAACAGAUAAAAAAUGAACAUUGACCAUUGGUCCAUAACAAGGUACAUUGUCAACAAGGGAACAUCUAAUAAAACCUCCAUAAAUUGAUUCCUCAAUAUACACUAUAGCAAAUUCAAAUCCAUUGGUUCCUCGAUACAUGUGCACACUAAAUGUGAAAGCCAUUCAUUUGCAUAUUUCACAUGAAACUCAUCAUUUCCAUUAUUGCCUGAUGAAUGAUCAGUUUUUCUAAAGAUCAUGAUUAAUGUAGUUGAGAAAAUGUAUCAACAAUCAACAUGGGUGAUUGAUAAAAAAAGUGUAUCACCAAUCAUCAUGGAUGGCAACCUAAUGACUUCAGAUUAAGGAAAUAAUUCUGCGUUAGCUGGGUUUCUAAUUAAUAUGAAACAAAUGAAUUAAUGAACCAAGGUUAAACUUGAGACACAAGUUAAAAUCCACAAGGUUACCAUUUCGAUAGGAAAAUAACACCAAAUACAUACCUACGCUGUUCUUCAUCAUCAAAAACUGUACGUUCCAUCUCUUGGAAUUUCUUUGAGCCUUUUUUCAUCGCUUUUUCUAUCUUACGUCGAUGAUAGGCAUCUAAAUCAUAGUAUCUGCAAAGUAAAUUAACAAAUGACUACAGAUGCUGGGAGCAUACAUAUAAACAAAUUUUAAAUAUAUCAAAUACUAGAUAUUGCCAAUAAAGCUAAACUUAUUUGCAUCAUUUAAAUAAAUAUACUUGUACAAGCUUAAUCCUGUUGAAAAGACUUACAAAUAAUAGUAAACAUAACUCUCAGGCUAUUGACUAGUAUAAAUGUAAAAGCAUGUCCUUUGAGAAAAUGCUACGUUAAAUGUUAUAGCUAACAUGAGAGAGCAACAUUUGUGAAUUUUACUUUGGAAAACCUGAUUAGUGGCAGCCAUGGGCAUGUAAUUUCACAUGAAAAGCUAGAGGGUUCUGACUUCUUUUACAUUCUCAAGACGAUGUGACGUACAGUCUUAUAAUCAUGGUGUACAGAAUUAUAAGAUAAAAAAACAAUCAAAGUUUACACUUUCCAUCCUAUGCCUACCAAAUCUAAUAAUAGUUUGGCUAGGAUAAAAUGUCUAGCUCAGAAAAUGUAUGCCACAGAUUAAAUUCAAUGAAUUUCAAAAAGAUCAUUAGGCAGGGUUAAGAAUCAAGCACAGGAUGGUAAUUUAUUUGUUAGAAACGAUGAAUGUGAAAACACUGCAAUAAAAACCCCAACAAAAGCUCCUGUAAACACCAGAUAAUUUAACCCAAAGCAUGCCUCCGGAAUACGACCUUCAACUUAUCUAAAAAUUUACCUUUUCCCUCUUGCUAAACCAUCUUUCAGAUAUAUAUUCAUAAACAAAUAUACAAUAUAUGACAAGACGAAAACCAUAAACACAAAAGUCAAACAAUCAAGUAUGUUCCCAGAAGAGAUGCUAACACAAUAAAAUCAAAGAAAUUAAGACCACUUAUGCAGUUCAUUUUGAAAAAACAGCACACAAAUCUUUACAGUCUGCAAAAAAAUAAAAGAUAAUGUGUGCAUUUGACGGUUAUCAGCCUCAUGGCAAAUUAAUAGAUUGCUAGAGCAUUUUCAUUUAUAAAAGCAUUAAAUUAGAAGCUUAAUCGAGAACCUUACUUCUUGGAUGGAAAUGUAGCCGUAUUAUGGUCCUCCAUAAACCUGUGUGGAGAUAGAAGAUCAAUAUCAGACACGGCAAUGAUAGUUGAAAUAUACUUGAAAACCCAAAGAUACGGCUCUUACAAAACAAUCAUGGACAAUUAGACAAUUGCGAAUGAUAGAAUCAAUAGAAAUGAUUUGUGUUACUUACUCUUUGAACAUUUGUUUCUCUUCCCAAUUUGACAAUGCUUCCAGAUUCACCUAUAGUUCAUACUCAUAGACGUCAGAAGUAGUUUGAUGACCUCUGUUUUUCCAAGUUCCAUAUAAUAGACUUAAAAAAAAAGAUUUCCCCAGAAUUUGGUACUUAAAACAUUCUCUAAAGUAGGAUAGCCAAAAUAAACAAGCAAAAGAUAUAGCUUUUUCACUAAUUGCUUCAGUUAAACUAUCAAUCUAAUUCUGAUCGACAGAGUGUGCGAACAAAGAGAUUGAAAAGUUGAAGAGAUUGGAAGACAUCAGUUGCAAGUUUCUUUAAAUGACUUUAACCAUCCUGAAUAAUCAUAGCUUCCUCAUACAAUUAACACACUAAGAACAAAACCUCAACAAAACUGAACUAUUAAUUAAAUCAAUAAACAAGCUCCAAAUCUGGUUUAGGAGCAAAAUAGCACACAAUAACAAAUUUUUCUGGACACAUUGGAGCAAAAUUCUCGAUGGCCAUCCAAGAAAGGUCCCAUACACCAUAUUCUAAAGAGAGGAAAUCUUUAAAUAACACUUCUUGGUUGUGAAAAGGGCAUUGGCUAUUAAAAAAAUCAUCAAAGGAAUCGAAAAAGGAUUUCUUGACAGAAAAAAAGAAGUAUUAUCUCAUAAUGUAAAUCAAACUAAAAGUAGCUCCAUUCUUGGUUGCAUGAAUAUUUAACGUAGUCUGUAUAAGAUGGUGAUACCUAUCCUUAAUGUGAAGGAAGUUAUCUUAAAACCCUAAUGUUGUCUUUUUCAGAUCUGUUUAAUGACAAAAUAUAUAUCAUCAAAAUCAAAUCUCAAAAUUACUAUUGGAAUGUACAUCUAGGAAACCUAACCUGUGUGAUCAUAUUUAGUAAGUCGCAGGGAAAAGGAUUCUCCAGUUUCAAAUAAAAAAUGCUAAAAUAGUUUAAACAUAUGAUAACAAAGACCCAAUUUUCUCAUUCAAUGAAUAUUAGAAAAGGUCCUUAGUAUGGUUCUAUGAAAUUCUGAUCUGAACUAUAAAGCCAAAGAACUACAGAUUUGCACCUGAAUUGGUUUCUUGCAAGAAUGAAUACCUGUUUCACUUCUGAUAGCCAAGCAGUAAACUCAGGUCGUUUAUUCCUGAAAGGAUUGGAAGAAAAAGCAUUACUUGACGAAUGAUGAUUGAUGAGUGGAUUUUGCAUCUAAAGUAGUGAUUGUUUUCGCAAUAUGCAGCUCACCCUUUUGCCCACCAAAAAUCAAAGUUUCUAUUGUAGUCCUAAAUCUUUUAUGCCUUCUACCACAUCACAUACCACACAAUCAUAUGAAGUACUAACGUCUACUUAAUGAUACAAUUGUAUGUGGCAAGAGAAACAACAGAGACAUAAAAUAAAUCUAAGCAUGUACAGUCCUAGUGAGCUUCUGGAUAGUAGAAUAUCUCGUAUGACACUCACGGAAUGCACAAUGGAAACGUUUUCCAAUGUAACAAACCAGUUGCCAUCGAAUUGUGAAAACGUAGACCCACGGGAGAAUAAGGAACGACAAAAAGGAAGGCAUGACUCUUGAUCACAAAAACACUCACCACAUGUCGAUUUCUCUGAUAAUGCCAUACUUCCCCCACGAAUUGGUGACUGCCCCUUUCUUCGCCUCUUCUUUCUCCUUCUUCUUUUCCUUGCGCUUCUUCCUCCUCCUCUUCGCCUCCUUCUCUUCCUCCCUCCUCUUUCUCUCCUUCUCCCGCUCCUUCCUUCUCCUCCGCUCCUUCUCAGACUCCCUCUCUCGCCGCCGCUUCUCCUUCCUUCUCCUCUUCCUUGCCUCGCCGUCGCUCUCCUCCGACUCGGACUCGCUGCCGGACUCGUCCGUCUCGGACUCCGUGUACGAAUCGGAAGAAGUCGAAUCAUCAGACUCGCUCCCCGAGGCACGGCCUCUCCUUCUAUGGCCUUUCCUGGAGCUCCGGUGCCGCCGCCUCUUCUUCUUUGAUCGAACUCUGUCGUCGCCGGAACCACCGGAACUCUCCUCGCUCUCCGUCUCCUCCUUCCGCUUGGAUUUCUUGUGGCGACCGCGAUGAGCGCCGUCAUCGCCUCGCUCUUGCAACUCCUUCUCUUCCUCCGGAAUGGAUCCGUCUCGAUCCUUCGCCAUUUCUAGCUAGGGUUUCGAUCGUUCGCAAGGGAAGAUGACGAAGGUUGGCAGAAGGAAAGCUCGCCCGAUACUAAUGACAAGAGGAGAAAUGGGAUUGCGGUAUAUGGCAGUGCGGCGAAUGAACGGUCUGAUUGAAACGGUGGCACGGGGUAUGGGGAUCACCGACCAGUGGCUUGAAGCCUCUAAUUGACGCGCACCAUCGAGCCAUUGGCGGUUCGGCGGUUCGGUUCGAUCAAAGCUUCUAAUCGAUGCGUAGCACCGUGCCAUUUGAGGUUCGAACAGCCGUCUGAUUCGGAUCGACUAAGUUGGAAUUUUGACGCACAGCAUCGUUGUGGGGAAAGAUCUAAUACAAGAUAAUAUGGUUGAGAAUACACCUCGAGCGAGGAGGUAGCGAGGGAGGGAUUGAGCCGUUCCCUUCAUCCCUGAGAGACGCCGUCGACACAAGCCGCCGACGAUGCAGCUAUUCCGUGGGGCCUGCAGUGGACGAAGCUCGCCUUACCGGCUGAGGAGUUCCCGCCGCUGCCGGAGGGGGUGGCCCGACAACAUUUUCAACCUGGUGGCCGCCGUCGGGGACUCAGACGCUCCGUGCUCCUCAUGCUCGAGCGUCGAGCCGUGGAAGGCAAUCCCGUCCGCGAGAUUUAUCUGAACGAGAUGGUGAAGCAGAUGCGCGGCCGCCGCAGGUACGCUCACGCCCUCGAGGUUCGCCUGCCUACUCUCUCAACUUUCUUCCUUCGGUAUUUGGUAUUUCUACUCCUGUAGUAAAGCAAAAGCCUUCCACAAUUGUGGAGUUGGCCUAUUAGUCAUGUUAUUUGUUUCAUCUGUUGACGACAGUAAGUUUAUGAUGCUUGACAAGUGUGUCGGCAGAGGCUUUCUUCCAUUAAAUAUAGGAGACCAAAAAUAUGCUCAGCAGCUUUGCUUGCAAUGUGUGGGUGGAAAUUGGAACUGACAUUGAAAAGCUUGCAACAGUGGCUGUUAUCUUCCAAGAAAUGAAGAAGCUUGCUCAGUCUAUGUUGAGAUGAAGCUGGGCUGUACCAAGUUUGGAAUAUGUAUCAAGGAGAAGGUAUAUGCGCAUGAUAUGUGGACUGAUGUAGAGGGUCCGGAAGCUAUCUUGAAGGAGUAGGAGACAUGAUUUAGAGUGUGCCGAUUCUGCAAUUUGCAGCAUAUUAUACAAGAGGCCUUGUAGAGAACCAGAGUGUCAGUAAUCAAGGUCAUUGAGGGUGGAAGAACACCUCGUGCUAUUGCAAUGGGCACAUCAGCUGCUUUGUAUUCGGUGUGGUUAGCGAUGAGGGCUGUGAAUCAUACCAUGACGGUAGAACCUUGAGAACCUUAAAGAUCAAAAGGAUCAGUGGAAUGAGCAGAAGAGAUUGCAAGGUUGUUGAGACAUCAUGGUCUUCCGACUAGGGAAAUCUAUGACUGCUUGCUGACGAUAUUCGUGUUGGCCGGGAAACCACCAACAAAACAUGGAUUUGAUGCAGAUGAAGAAAUAUUUAAGAUUCGGGAAGAGGGAAAGCCCGCCACAGAGGGGCUAAGAAAAAGAAAACACUGUUGAGCAGGUAGAUUACGAAGAUGAUGAAACAAUAGGCACAGAAGUAGAUCAUAACUCAGAAAUAACAUUGGUUUAAUGUCCAUACUGAGGCAAACAUUUGCAGAUUCUUAUGGCGGAUAACAUCUGUUACCUUCAGCAUGAUAGUAACAGGCUGAAGAACCGUACACAGAGAAGUGUGCAUGCUCAGAAAAAGAUCAAGCACACAAUGGCACAGCAGAGGAGGAAUACCCAAAUCUGAUGGAGUGACCUCUCCAGCUCCAUCUCCCGCCUCCUUCGCCUGCGGCUGCCCUCAUUGCCACCCAUGUGGUUAGGAUUCGAGUAGUCAACGCUGGCCCACUCCUGAUCCCGGACCAUCCACGAGAGCACCGCCACCGCCAAUCCCCCCAGCACGCCGCCCGCCAUCGAGUGGCUCGGUUGCAGGUAACGGUGAGGCCGAAUCUCCGGGUACCGCGCCUCGUUCGGCCCGAUCGCGCCCCGGCGGGCCGGCCGCGGACGACGCGGUACCUCGACGCCCGGGUGGGGCUUCCUCCCGCAGCCGCGGUGGCCGCGGCCGUAGAGCGGCACCAGAGCGUCCAGGGA
rnacentral:lncRNA from 1 species